rnacentral:lncRNA from 1 species
CGUCGCCGCCGUCGCCGUCGCCGCCGUCGCCGUCGCCACCGUCGCCGUCGCCGCCAUCACCGUCCCCGCCGUCACCGUCGCCGCCGUCACCGUCGCCGCCGUCACCGUCGCCGCCAGAGCCCUCGCCGUCACCACCGUCGCCACCAGCGCCGUCGCCGUCACCACCGUCACCACCGUCGCCGCCGGCGCCGGGGCCAUCACCACCGUCACCACCGUCGCCGCCGUCGCCGGCGCCACCACCACCGUCACCACCGUCACCACCGUCGCCGCCGGCGCCGCCGCCAUCAACACCGUCGCCACCGUCACCACCGUCACCACCAUCACCGCCGUCACCGCCGUCACCACUGCCGCCGUCGCCUAAACCUCCUAGCCCGCCCCCAUCNNNNNNNNNNNNNNNNNNNNNNNNNNNNNNNNNNNNNNNNNNNNNNNNNNCCACGGGUGAGGAGCCCACCGCCAUCGUCGCCACCGACCCUUCCCUCACCGCGUCCGCCUCUCCCGUCUCCUCCACCAGCUCUACCUCCACCCACCCCGCCGCCACCAUCACCCACCCCGCCGCCACCAUCACCCACCCCGCCGCCACCAUCUCCCACCCCACCUCCACCAUCUUCCACCCCACCUCCACCUUCGUCAACAUCACCACCACCUUCCACAACCUCCCCACCUCCGCCUACAUCCUCCCCAUCUCCCACUUCCUCCCCCUCCCCGGUACCCUCCCCGUCCAAAUCGUCCCCACCGCCGCCAUCUGCACGCCCAGGCAAGCGCCCAAGUGCGCCCCCGCCCAAGGCCGCCAAGGCGCCCAAGCCCCCGCCACCAGCCAAGGCGCCCAAAGCUCCCAAGACGUCCAAGGCGCCUUUCGUGCCUAAGUCACCUUUCGUGCCCAAGUCACCUUUCGUGCCCAAGUCACCUUUCGCGCCCAAGACCCCCAAGGAACCCACACCAGGCAAGGCCCCUAAGGCCUAUCGAAGCCCCAAGCCGCCCAAGUAGAGGCGGUCUUGCUUGGCGAGCACCCGCUGACGGAACCAGCCAGUUGCGUCAGUCAACAGCAGCACCUGUCCUAGCCGGGGGUAUGCAUGCUGUACCCGGACAGGGCAGUGAUGUGCGGAGUGCAGUGUGCGUGCUGGUGGGGGAGUGUCGGACCGCCAUGCCCGCAUUUAUAGGCAUCAGCGUAACCACUUCAACUCGCAGGACCGCCAUGCGGCGAGCUGUAGCGGCACUGCGUUAGGCAGGGCCUUCUUGCCAUGGGCAGGAGCUUUACUUAGGCAUGGCAGUGACGUCGGUCCACUGCUGCUCAGUGUGCGCGGACGGGAAAGCGAAAACGCAGCGGGGACGUGGCGGCUGGACAGCGGCUGUGGACGUCAAGUCCUUGAAGCCGUGCAUGCGUCCUUCACGAACCGCGUUCUCAACAUAUCAAAACUGCAUGGCGACCGACCUAUCUACCUCUACUCGCAGAGCUUGGUGGCUUUGGUGCACACACAUGCCACGUUAAUUACUCGAGGGGUGAAUGGUUGUCGCCACCAGCACUGAAACUGUCGCAUUUUUUUGCUUUCAUCCAUUGAUAUUACGCAUGGAAAGCUGUGGAAAGUCGUAGAGACUUUUAUUUGAGUUUCGGCAAAGGUACAUAAUGAUUUUACAUAUUAUGAAGCCCCCAGAUUGUGGGGUUAUGACAGAUAUUCCCAUGUGGUCGCUCCGGAAGGGAUCACCGAAAAUCUCAUAGAAAAAACCCCGGUAUGUUAUUCGCUGAGUGGAGCGCUCACAUGCGCUUCGUUCCAAAUUGUGGCUGACUGCGUGGUGAUGGUGGUGUACAUGUGCAGGUUGGCUAUCGCCGUGUUAGUGAUUGAUGAGUAAUUCAGAGACUUAAGCUGUUGUAUGCGAAGAUUGUACCGAUAAGUGGAUAGUAGAUAUGUUGUGUAUUAAACCAGUUGUUACAACACGUUUUAAAAAAUGUACCAAUCGGCGGAUUCAGAUCCCGUGAUAUUCCCAGGAUACUAAACCAGGCAGCGGAUACAGAGCAAUUUCCACGAUGCACGUUACUUAGAUUAAGAGGUAGAGCAAGGGAAAAAGGCAAGUCCCUGCCAUAAAUACAAGCGAUGUCCUGUCCAUGAUAGUUCGCUCCAGAACCAGUACCGUGAUUUCUCCACGCUACGAUACGCCCAAGUCCUGCGCGAGCUAUCAAUACUUUCCACAAGCAGAAUUUUGGUGCGCUCAUAACAAAAACUCAGCUGACUCCCAUGCCCCUCGCCGGAACAUCACACCACACAGCUACCACCAACCCGCAAUGGGCAUGGCGCGGUAGUAGUGCUUAUGGACCGCCUGAGCAAAAUGACGCACUUUGCGUCCCACAAAUACAUCCAUCGAUCUGGGUGUGGGUGUGUGUUACACGGUCGUGGGGUGCGCUCCCCGUACACACCUGCAAACCGCCCAAUACGAGCCGAGGGCUGAAGGGCUGCCAGAUCGCCUAGAAGCACCAUCCUACCUCGCACUUUAGACAAAGCAAGUGGUAAAGCACACUAACGACCAAAGGGGACGAUAGAGUUGCGGUGGGAACAUAUACGUUACAGCAUCCUUGCCAGACGUUCAGGUUCCCACUUCAUAGUGUCCUUCAUGUGCUCGAAACGUGGGGGAAAUCCAACCCAGAUCUGAUUUCUGAUUCGUACACCGGCCAGUCCAGCAAAAUGUGCUUCUGAUCUUCAAUAUGGCUAUCAGUGCCGCAGCAGGGCCUACUCGCUCCUCCUAGUUAUAUAACGCCGUCCCUUGCGCACUCUGUUAGCCGCCAAUGCCCAACAGCAAAGCCUAAACCGCGUAAGCAUGCGAUUCGCUGAACGCGGGAUGAAUGUUGUGAUAUGCGGGAGUACCUCCUUCCUGCCCGCUUGCUCAGCCGCUAGACUCAUCCAAUGCCUAUACUUCGCCACCUGGAUUCCUGGUUGCUUGCCGUCUGAUGGGUACAGGUCUGGCUGGGCAUCUAGACGCGUGUGCAUCCAACCGCUCAUCAACCGAUCCUUGAACUCCGAUACCAAACCUCCUCUGUGCACCCCCGAGGUCGGGCUACUGCCGGCUGUUGGAGAACUUGGCGGUGGAGGACCCGCGCGCCUUCCUGUUCCACUACUACAACUUCUACUUUGCACAUAUGGCGGGUGGCAGAGUGAUCAGGGCUAAGGUGCGUGCUGGUGUUGCGCCGGGUUGUGUGUGGGGGAGGUGUGGGGGGUGUAUGUGGGGGGUGGGGAAAUGGGUGGGGACAGGGAGGUUGAGGAGGGGGCGGGUGGUGGCCGGCGGUCAAGGGUGAGUCUUCCGAGUGAGUGCUGUGCGGGCAUGCACGGAUUGCUGAUGUGGCGGGGCUCGAAUCGUACAUAUGAUGUUCACUUUAUUCGACCUCCACCGCGUGCUUUUAUUUGCGUAUUUCAUCCGUAAGGAUAUCCCCAAGGAUACGAACAAACGCAUAGACAUGCGGCCAUUCUUCUCCCAUAUUGCACCCGUAUUUACCGGCUCUCCCUCCGCUGAUUUGGUUGCUCCUUGCACCCAAUGAUUCUCCCCUCCUGCGCCAAUUGGGACGUCUGGCUUCAAGUGACAGCCAUGUUGCUGGACAGCCAUAAUCUGGAGUUUUACCGUUGGCCAGCUGGCGAUGUGAGCGAGCUGUGAAUGGAGCGAGUCUGCAAGUCGCCACCGGGUGAACGGAGGGAAUGGGAGGGAGGGAGAGGGGGAAGGGGGGUAAAUGCUUCAUGAGGAUUGGGGGAGUUUGGUGAGAGCUCGAGGGUGCUGUGCGCGGUGUGUGACGCUGCAUUCUGGGGGCGAGGUGAGAGGGGAAUUCAUCAGUACGGAACCGGAGGCCUUCGCAAAAUGUCGGAAUACUUCAAAAGCAUUACGACGCAUUUUAUACGUAUCAUUUGUAAAAGAUGGGGGCCCUUGUGAAGCAGCUGCCCGCGUUUCUAAAGCACGUAUGGUGUUGGAUUGUAUGGUGCCCAAGUACGUUUGCGAGGAAGAUAAUGUGGCCAGGCUGGAGAGGAAAGUGCAGUGGCAUAUUGGAAUGUGAGAUUAGCGUAAGCGAGUUACAGGGCGUUUUAUUGCACGGGCGAAUUUACGUGCAAAUCUUUCACCGUAGCAUCAGUCCUCAGUUCAUUUCUUGGAACGAACAUCAGCAUAGGUGCAAGCCCUCUCGCUUGGGGGGAUAUGCAAACAAACAUCCUGAUAGGGGUAAACUCGCAUGCUACCGAGCAUUCAACCGAGCACAUGCAUGCUUAGUUGAAUGGUGAGAUGCGACCCCCCCUUCAUUUCGUGCUCGGCAAGCCUGCCACCGCGUACCGGAUAUGUUGGCGAUGUUACAGAACGCUGCACCUUGGUUUCUGUGCGCAAUGCAUACGUUGCUCGACCCCGCCGACCAAAACUACACGUGCCCAACUGAAGACACACCGGUGGUUGUGCAGCAGCUCUUGAGGCUUUGUUGGCUGAAAUCCAUCCUGAGACGCUGCACCUCGGUACCUGUGCGCAAUGCGUACGCUGCUCGCCCGCGCCGACCAAAACUACGUGUNNNNNNNNNNNNNNNNNNNNNNNNNNNNNNNNNNNNNNNNNNNNNNNNNNCCUCAGCGGCAUCCAUUUUACUUGCAAGGUUCUGAACGACUUUCGCGAUUCUUCUCUUUACCUAAUUCUGCGUUGUUGAUAUUUAUUUCGUAAGAGUGUAACUUGAGUUUAGUGGGAACAAUGUGCAUUAUGCGCUGCGCUACCGAAAGCAGGCGCCUUAUGGCUGAUUCUUCGCCGACCGCUUCAUCUUCCGCGGCAGUUUCACGAGCCCAGAGUUGCAAGCUACGACCGUGCUUUUAGUUACUGCAAAGCAUCCACGCAAUAGUCCAGCCUGCAUGCCGCGUGCGGCUGUGGCCAACAUGCCCACCUGCGCAACGCGCUGGCGCACCUCGGCCUUUUCGCCAAAAAAAUAUAUACACUUGUACACGCACAAUUUGUGAAUCGCACGCGCGCACCCGCGCGGUGAAAUUCGCUCCUGGCUUUUGGGGCGUGAUGUACGGACCUUUUAUUCGCGAAGUACGACCGGACACAUUUCUGCGAGGGGCUGCUUAAAUAUUUUGUCUCUGCUACGAUUAGCUACAUAACUGGCCCGUUUGCUGCGCGCACGAUGGAUGGAGAAGGGCGACGGCCGAGGGUGCUGCUGGGAAGCACAGGUGUAUACUUAAUAACCAUCGAAAUGAACAUAUCGCUAACCAAAGCGCUUCGGCUAGCAAGUCAACAUUAAAAUUCCUUCGGUUCUGGUUCCUAUCGGAAAUACGCCUUGCAGGCAGUGUAGCCAGUAUCAAGGUCGCUGCUCUAUGCCGUUUGCUACUCGAUUUCGCUGAUGUUAAGCUUAUUGUAACAACCUCGGCAAGACAUUUUAUCAACGAGGCCGACCUGCCUCCGGAAGUCAAGCCAGUUUUCGGGGUGCGUUGGACAAAAAAUAUAGGACAAUUGAGUGGCCCAAGACUUACGUGGGCAAUAAAGGCGCAGACUUAACAUACAGCGUUCUUCAAGGAAAAAUCCAAACGUCCAAUUUCAUGUCCGCUUUGUCGUGCACGACCUUACCAGGGCGGCGUCCACAAGGUACGCCCAUGCUUUCCUACCAAUGCCCGCCCACCCACCAACCAGGCAACCAGUUCCCUUCGGGCCAACUAGUACGUCUGACCCUGUCGUCCCCCGGCUCCCUUCAAAUCCCCAUCGCCGUCCCCACCCCUCCCAAUCUCAACCCCACCCCGCUGCCUCCUCAUGUAACCAAAUCCGCCCAUACCUAACCCCCACUCUCUUCUCAACACACGUACAAACGCGGCUCAGUCCUUAGAAACACCCACAUGAGUCCGAAGUUCCUCCCGUGUGCAAAGAAUUCCACUUGGGUCGCUCUGAAACGUAUCACGUGCAGGACGAGGCAGAGUGGCGGCAAUGGCGCGCUGUGGGCGACCCCGUCCUUCACAUUGAGCUGCGUCGGUGGGCAGAUAUUCUGUUGGUAGCACCGCUGUCAGCUAACACUCUGGCCAAGAUGGCCAACGGGAUGGCAGACAACCUGCUCACAUGCGUCGUACGAGCCUGGGAUUUCACCAAGCCGCUCAUGGUAAGGUGGCUAGGAGAAGGCGCAGGAGGGGGGGAGGUGGUGAGGGGGGUUCCGCCUAAGCGCGAUGACACUUAAGGAGUGGGAAAACGCGGGGCCAGAAGGAGGACGACGGGCUUUGUGCCAGGGGCAUAUGUUUGCGGGAAGACGCAAGCCCUUCAGCUCUCCACACCGGCAUGCCAAGUCGAUGAUGGCAGUGCGUGCAGGGCAUUGAGAUGCCUGGGAUGUAUGGGCACGUGGGAAGAGAGAUGUGGGGUAAGGCAGCAGCGUGAGGAUCUAGCUGGGAAGAGGUCGGUCAUGUUAAGAGGCGAAAGAGAGGUAUCGUAGUGAUUGUUUAUGGUAAUCACCGCCCGCGGACCACCUCCUCAGCGACCCCAGCCCCGAUUCGUAGUUACACGGGUGGAAAUCUCGGUGCAUGUCAGUCCCAUAAGCCCUAAUCCCGUCUCACAGGUUCCGGUCUCCUCUCGCCACUAUACCACUGGAACACCAAAGCCCUCAAGACGAUCCAAACAACCAAAACGCUCCAACGGCCAACAACCAACUCCAAACCUCCACAGGUGGCUCCCGCCAUGAACACGGCCAUGUGGGUCUCGCCCUUCACCUCCCGCCACUUGGACACGUUGACCCAACUUGGCAGUUGCAAUUGCGGCAAUAGCAACAGCAGCAGUAGCAGCUUUGUCAUCGUUGCGCCGGUCAGUAAGCGACUUGCAUGCGGCGAUGAGGGCACAGGCGCUAUGGCGGCGCCAGAGGAUAUCGCGGCGAGGUGCCGUCAAGUGCUGCUUGGAGCUGACGGGGGAGCUGGCUGAGGAAGAGUCACAUCCCUGGGGCUGCAGCUCCAGGGAUUGCCUCAGCUGCCACCGUCGGGGCUGGUGCCAGUGCUAUAAUGAGCAGUAACAGCAUGAAUGGCAUCAUCAUCACAUCAAGAUUAGCAAGAACAUCAAUGGGCAGGCAGAGUAGUGGCAGUUGUAUAGUUUCUUGGCGGUGGAGGGUGGACCGACGGCUAUAGCAACACAAAUAGCAAUAGCAGCAGCAGGGGUAUGGGUGGAUGCGUGAGGGGCAACCGCAAUAGUGUUUAUGUGUGAUAGGAAGGCUCCAACGGGAAAAGCGCAGGAAUUGUUUUUGGCAGUGACAGUGACGGCGGCGGGGACGGCAAAACGCUGAUGGAGCAGAUUACGGAGGCUUGCAGACUUCAAUGAACUAUUUUAGCGUCUUUGGUUUGUGCGUCGUAUGUGUGCUCUUAGCUAUGUUGCUUCCCGUUGAGACAUUUGCAGUUGGCCUCGACCCUUUGUGCACGUGCUGGGCACAACCGGCGAUCAAGGGCCACACGUGCUACGUGAGUAGUCGGUUUAAUUACAGCCAUGGCGGAGAGUAAUACGCGUGCGGCAACUUGACCAACCAGAUUGACACCGUAUAUCCAAUCAUUCUUCCUUGUUGAAGGUCUCCAACAGCAACAAUGGCCCUUGCAUGCUCGGAUAGUCCUACAAGUAAGCAAACCAACGGUACAACUCCCGUCCCCUGCUGAACAGCGGCAGAUUACCAAGUAUUCAACCCCCGGGUUACUUUGCUCUCGUCUUUCCCCCACGCAACUUACAGCCAUGGCAUCCCGCUCCAAACGCAACCAGCCGACCUCCCAACCACCUUUCUUAAUCCCGCCCUUCCAGCGAAACUCCAACUCAUGAGAUUCUUCCCAUCCCUCCCCGCUUUCCUGGCCCUCCUCUCUCCACCCUCGCCACUAGGCCAACUCAUCCCCGCUGCUCAGUGCUUCCCAAUCCUCCACCGCGACUGGGAUCCCCCGCUUCCCGCCCGCCGGCCCGAACCUCUUCCUCCCACCCAGCGCAACGUUCCGCCCCGAUACGCUCCAGCGCCGCCACUGCAUCCGCGUCCGAAGCCGCGUCCCACAACGCAUCUGCCAUGGCGCCGUGUGCAUCGGGGUGUUCACACCGCAAGAGACGUUCUGCCCAAGACAGCCCCUCAGGUCCACCUGUCUCACCGAUCCGGGGGUCAGUAAGGUCCUGGCGAGUGAGGAUGAGCGGGUGCUCGCGGCUCUGAGCGCCAUACACGGCCUCCGGCAACGGGCGAUAGCUGCAAACGGGAGCGGGACGGGGACCGAACAAUGGAAGCACGCGAGGACGACCCUUACGAAUACUGCAUGACAUGUUAGCUGCAUCUCGCUGCGAACAGCACGCGGAAAGCAAAAGACGAUGGUAGCGAUGAUGGUAGCGAUGAUAACGGAUAACGAAUCUCAAGGGACGUUUUACAGAGACCCGCGAGACUGCAGAAUGAGCACAACGCCCCAAAAGCACAUCGAGUACAUAAACCUUCGAAGUCACCCCUACUACCCCACCCUUCGAAACAGGGCCUGAAGACAAAACCAACGUACCGGGUUAGGAAAUCGAAGUGCCAGGGGAAGAAGUACCAAGCCUUGCGACGACCGCGCUCAUCGUCACCAAAAUGCUCCUUCAUGUAGGACACCAGAAGCCGAUACACACCCACGCGCUCCGAAGUCGUCAAUAGCAGUUCACGGCCCUAAGAUAACACAGCACCAACACAAAACACGGCAUUACGGUUAACAGAGAGUCAGCAAAGGAAUAUGGACAUUGAUUAUCUAAGGACAUAGCACAGCUCCUAGCCUCGCUCCGCACCUCUUUGAAUUCCAGGAACAGCCAAGGCUUAAUGAGCGCUCCCCGCCCCGCCAUGACCGCCGCACAUCCCGACUCCUCAAGACGUGCGCGAGCCUCGUAGUGGGUCAGAAUGUCGCCAUUCCCGAUGAUGGGCACCGAAGAAGAUCGAGCCAGCUCUCCUACACGGCCCCAGUCUGCGGCCUUCUUGUACCUUCGGCAUGUACACGGAGGAGAUCGCAAUUGCAAAGCCGGCAGCAUAUAUCAGGAUAAUGACAAAUUGACAACUAGAGAGAUGACAGUUGAGAUGGUGUACGGUUACGGGCAAAAUGUACGCAGUCUUCAGGAAAAGUCGAUGUGCUGAAGAAAAGGGGCGAUAAAUAAAAAGGACAAGCGGACUGUAUGUGAUGUGUGUGUAUAUGUCUCUUAAGGAAUGAUGGUGAGCGGAAACUAUAAGUCAUUUGUACGACCGUCCAUAACAGGCUAAAACAGCAAAAGGGAACAAAGGCUACACAUCAGGCCUAACGAGAACCCUCAGCGCAAUAUCUUCUCGAUGUACACCCCCUAGAAGGAAGACUCGGUUAUGGACAUCAGCUUUGGAAUUGUCGGCUAAAGAUGUGUAGCCGAAGGGGAAUCCAAAAAGCAUCAUCAGCUGUCCUCGUUCGAGUAUCAGCGAGACUAACCCACAAACAAGAACACAUAAAUCACGGAGAAAGUCUUCGUACACGCCUGACUCCUUUCCAAAUACGCACACGCCUCGCCGUCACGUGGCCACGACAAUUCAUUUGAAAAGACACACACACGCAUGUACAUAUAUACCCCCCCGCAUGCGCCACUGCAGCCGUCAGAAGGUGGAAGUGUCGGUCACCGUCCCCCACAGCGGUUCGAAACAGCCGCAGGGACUGCCGAAGGGGAAUCCCAACGGUUUCAUCAUCCGGCCGAAAUGGGCUGUGACAAACGGAACCUAAAAGGCCCUCGGGCCCCAAAUCGGACAAAGAGCUGCGUGUCACUCUUGCCGUCUUGUCCUCAGGACACGUCGGCCAUUGCCACAGGGCACGACACAGCACAUCAACAAACCUACACAUUCGCCAAUCAAAAUGUGCAACAAGCCAUGAGUUGACGUUGCUUUCUUCUACCUGGCACCACAGUCUUUACAUACAGACUUGAAUCCAAAGAGAAUGAUGUUUUCCGUCAUUACCGCCACCCACAACCACACGCACCUCUGUUCCGCUGUCCGGCCGUGCACUGUCACCGCCGCAGCCCCAGCUCGUUCCAGGAAACGCACCACCGAGUCCACGUUGAUCUUCUUGUCGUUCUCUCCCAGGCGAACCUGCGUCGCCAGCAAAUUGCGGGAAGGCAUGCCCACCUUAACAAACUAUCGACGGAGGAUAGGCGGAGUGAAUGAAGACGGGAAAAAAGAGCAAAACAAGGCAACGAUGCAGAGGUCAACGAUCCUGGGCGUUGGGGCAAUGAUAAGAACCAAGAACCCAGCAGCAACUUCUCCAUUACGACAUUCCUCAAGCUAUACCACCUUCCAUAUCUCCCUCCCUACACAUAAUUGCCCGCGCCACGCACGGAGCUGUGCUUGAUCGUGGUGUUGUGGCGGACAGGGGCAUGCGCUAACAUAGCUACAUACAAGGACCGAGGACUAGGACAGCAGGGGAGGUUGUAUGAGCAUAAUUCCAGUAGGAUUGCCCAGUCAGCACACAGGGGAGCCAGGGGACCACAAAUCAUCGCAAAUGUGCCAAUAAGGACAUCUAGCAAGCACAAGGUUUCUCCCAAAAACUUCCUCCUCUACACGUUGCCCCGGUAGUAAAUGCGCUCUCACCUUGACAGUCACAGGCAGCUCCGACUCCGCGGCGAUGCCGGCCACCAUCUUGGCGAGUGCACGCGGCUUUCGGAGCAUGGCGGAGCCCAUCCCACGGCGCGUCGCCUCUGAUGCCGGGAGUAGCGUACAGGGGGAAUUAUGGCACAACGAACCUUAGUACCGGGACAUUCAGCUGUUCAACGUCGCAGAUCGGGCUAUCUAGUUUCCCCCGCGGCGCCUCUUCAUCGCUACAAGAAAUCCCAAUUCCCAAUUCCUUGCACAUUUGGCAACCGCAUUUGAGCCGAUGACGAGGAGUGAUGUGGAGCACGGAGCCAUUCUACCUAACCUGAUCUGGGUGCCACACAUUCCAACCCAACCAAAAGCAGACACCAGCUCAGCCGCCCAUGUUCUCACCCAAACAGACAACCCCAGCACCCACCCACACAGCCAACAUCCAUGAAAUAGCCAAAUUCCACACUUGUUACCCCGCUCAGCUAUCCUCAGCGAAUCACCGUCGCUCACAAACACAAACAAGCAACUCACCGUGGAUCGGGCAGCCGCAAUUGAUGUCCAGGAACUGCGCCCCUGCCUGAGGGCCGCCGAAUGAAACAUGAACGCGUCGCGAGAAAGAAGGAAACAGGCAAAGUCAUAAGAAGGCUUACUUGGUCACAAGCACAGGGGAACCCCAGAUAAGAUGCGUGCGGAAGCUGAACCAGGAGAAAGUAAUGCGGGUGAAGAGGGUGGCCAAGGAUUGCGUUGAUUUGGAGGUUUGCUGAUGAGGGGGGUUAGUGAACCGCAGUGUAGUCCGCCGUUACCAUCCAGACCAUGCCGCCGUUGCUCACCUCCUUGGCGAGCUUUGAGGCAGCGAUGCCAUCCGCGAUCGUCUUGCACGCGACUUGGAAGCCGAACAUAGACUCUCCAGGCGCCUUAUAAAGGCGAGCGCGCUCGACUCUGUCGCCUCAACCCAUGCGAGGAAGCUACAGGGCCAGGGUUAGCAAAAAGACGAUUAUGUUGCGUCGAUGUAAGACUAUGCAAGGUAGCAUACCUUUCAGUAAAGGUUUGCUGAAAGACAUCUCCGACAUCGUCACCUCACACCCAAAGUGUAAGCAAAGCCGCCGAAAUGGUACAUUCCCGCCCUAUGUAAACGCGUCGGCGCCGUCAGAAGCGAAUUGACCGCGAAUAAAUGCUCUGCUCGGUAUACCUUUGUAAGAGGAGCCAGCAGGAGCUUUCCACGAAGCUGUUGCGCAAAAGCCGCAUUUCGUGCCUUGACCCACUCAGGGGCCUCAUAGUCGAAAUCCGCUUGGCCGGAAGGCGAUGGCUCUGUAACAUUCACAUCCACUAAGGCAGUCUGGGAACCUUCACUACCUGCUUGUCGGCAGAAGCUCCUGCAACGCCGCACAGCUGCCCUUGUACAUGGCGGCUGCGGACAUAAGACAGACCCUGCCGUGCACCGAUAUGUAGCCAACAUUAUAUCAUAAAUGUCGACCUGCAUAAAGUACUCGCCAAGUACUGUGCAUCCCCAAUCGGGGCCUUUGGAUUUGGUCGUUUGUACGGUGAUCCAAACUUCUUUCCGACAGAACAAAGAUUCGGCUCCAGAUACACAGAGCAGCAAAAACCAAAAUAUAUAUAUUGUACUGAAACUACUUAUAGGCACAUACAGGUACAUAUGUCCAUCCCUUUCCGUUGUUCGAAUACGGCACAUCAGAGUGCCGUAUUCGUUUGGUAUGAACCAUGGUUCAAAAGAUGGGGGCCCUUGUGAAGCAGCUGCCCGCGUUUCCAAAGCACGUAUGGUGAUGUGGAAGGUGCGGAAGUACGUCGGUGAAAUAUAAUGUGGUAGGACUGGAGAGAAUAGUGUAGCAGUAUAAUGUAUUGUGAGUGUAGCUGAAGCUUUCAUCGUGGGCGCGUCUCGUUGCAAGCUANNNNNNNNNNNNNNNNNNNNNNNNNNNNNNNNNNNNNNNNNNNNNNNNNNNNNNNNNNNNNNNNNNNNNNNNNNNNNNNNNNNNNNNNNNNNNNNNNNNNNNNNNNNNNNNNNNNNNNNNNNNNNNNNNNNNNNNNNNNNNNNNNNNNNNNNNNNNNNNNNNNNNNNNNNGUUCUUAAACAGAAUUUGAGCUUGCUGCUGGCUCAAGUCCUUCCGUAGUUGCUGCAACACGGCUAACGCAGGCACGGCCGAAUGCGCUGCGAAAAGCUGUUCCAAGCCCUCAGCGGCAUCCAUUUUACUUGCAAGGUUCUGAACGACUUUCGCGAUUCUUCUCUUUACCUAAUUCUGCGUUGUUAUUAUUUAUUUCGUAAGAGUGUAACUUGAGUUUAGUGGGAACAAUGUGCAUUAUGCGCUGCGCUACCGAAAGCAGGCGCCUUAUGGCUGAUUCUUCGCCGACCGCUUCAUCUUCCGCGGCAGUUUCACGAGCCCAGUGUUGCAAGCUACGACGUAGGCUUUCGGUGCUUUCAGAUACUGCAAAGCAGCCACGCAAUAGUCCAGCCUGCAUGCCGGGUGCGACUAUGGCCAACAAGACCACCUGCGCAAUGCGCUGGCGCACCUUCAAGAAAUUUAUAUACACUUGUACAGGCGCAUUUUGUGAAUCGCACGCGCGCAUCUGCGCGGCAAAAUUCGCUCCUGGCUUUUUUGGGACGAUGUACGAACACUUUAUUGGCGAAGUACGACCGGACACAUUUGUGCGAGGGGCUGCUUAACCAGAGGUCGGCAAACCCUGAAUAACUGUCACGGGUACUGGUGCCAGGGUCGAAUAACUGUAUGGAAAUUUUUUUUGGUAAAAGCCGAGGAAAGAGUGUCUGCGGGCCGAUGUACCAAACUUACUACGUUACACCAUCGCUGUUAAAGCCACAGUUGUCUUGUUGCGCCCAAUUACUGCGCAAACCUGCCUUUGGGGGGGGGAUUCCUGCACCCUGCCGUACGGCUGCCGUACCAGCGAUGAUGAUUUUCUGCAACGGGUACAACGGAAGGACCCGCUGUACCAGCGGCGUUUGCCGACCCCUGGUUCAAACCUGCGACCCAAAAGGAUUUUCCCGUCGAGCCGUACAAAACUAACGCGCUCCAUCCCUUCCAGCUGGCUAUCGCCCUCGUGCGUUUGGAUCCUAACCACUUCUCACGGGCCGGACCUAUCUAGGCAGGGUCUCCCGGUCGGAACUACAGGUGCAGGGCAAGGAGCAACUCUGGUUGCCUGCUUCCGUCCGGGACGCGGUACGGCGCGCGUCUUGGUGCGUCUUGGGCUUUACCUGGACUGUAGAUAAGAGAAACGGUCCGUAGGACGGUCAAAGGUAAUGAGUGCAAGGCUAUUAGCUUAUGUCUGGUGGAACAUAACCUUCUGUUGUGGAAAAGUGUCAGUUCCAGUUACGUCAAGUCAGCCAUCUUACGAACUGGUUUUGAAAGAAGUCGUACGAUCUGAACUGAUCUGAACGACUUGUCCGUUAAUGUCUCCCUAAAGCUCCUGCUCAGAGCUGUGUUGGUUAUCCACCUACUUAAGUGUAAGAAAUCGUGCUCAGGUUGCUUUCUCUGAACGUGUAUUACGCAACGGCACCGGGAUUCAUACAAAACGUUCCAGCUUCCACGGUAAACCUUUCAGACCAUAAGAAUCUUCACGGGUUCCACCUCCCUCACUCGCGCUCUCGUCACACCGACCGAACGAUUUAUUUCGCAAUAAAUGAGACAUGGACUAUCCGGUGUUUUGCCUACUACAACAAACACCAUCCCAGGUUACGAGUUCCGCACCUUUGUGCGGGGGUGUCCAUAAAAGCCGUUGUUGUUACAUUCGGUUCAAAGCCCCAGAGCCAUAUAGUUGUGCCCGGCCGCAGCCGCAGCCGCAUCUAGCCCGGCCCUUACGAUACGCACACAGAGCCUACACGUACAAUCGCACGCUCAUCUCUUCAUACCUUUUCGGCAUUGGUACACUUUACUAAUACCUUUCUCGGCCUCGGCGUACACUUUGCACCACAAACCGUGUGCAUGCAGUGGUAUAGCUUGCAAAUAUACAAACAUAUCCUACCAGGCAGUACUGUUAGCAAACAAAGUCUUGCGAUACAUCAGUUCCCAUAUCUUGUACAGCUAAAUGCCCUUGUAUUAGCACAAUGCCUCCCCCUUCCGUCCAUCCGGCCCAGAACACGUUUUGGGACAUUUUCUUGUCGCACGUGACAUCGCCACACAACACCAUGACAAAAAGUUGCCGCGCACCGCUUUUGCCGCUGUAAUCUUUACAGCAACUGCCUAACCAUUACAUGUUCACAAGUUAUUAAAAAAGGUUUUAGUAACCACUACCCAGCCAACCAGCAGGGCUUCCCAGCAUCACUUCUGGCUGACAGCAUAACAGCAUACCUAGUCCGCCCUACUCUCCCUACAUAUCCUCCCAUCCCACAGACACAGCACCAGCAGCAAAUCAGCAACAAUAGCAGUAACAGCAGGCUGCAGUAGCGGUAGUAGCAGCGGCGGCUCACCUCUCGGAACACCUCACGAAGUGAUCUGGAAUGGCGGGAUCGGGGAGCUUACCCUAAAACCCGACAAAGCCCUCACGGCUUGAUCAGCGAGCGGUGCAUGUGUACAUGCACCCAGCGCCCAUCCCCCUUCUUCUCCCACACACGGGUCUCCUCCGCCUGCACCGUCACGGGCGCGCCGCCCACCAGCUUCUGGGUCAGACGGAUGUACGACACCACCGCGCACGUGUCGCCGAUAACGCGUACCUGCGGGAAGGGUGAUGUUCAAUGUGCGGUGUUUCAAAAGGUCUUGGACAGCUGUGACUGUGAUAGGGUUAGUUCGUCGAAGGGCAGUAAGGUCAAACUGAUUGCGGGUAUGCUACACCAAGUAGACGGACAGGAAGGCAAAAUGCUAGAUAGCGAUUAAGCCGGAAUAAGGAGAUCACAAGGCGAUUUGCGGCGGCGGUGCUGAUGAUCCUUUGAUGUCAAACUGAUCUGCCAGAGUUCCAUAAAUUACUGUAUGUAUGUAUGUAUGCCGCGGCCUCAUGGCAUCCAUGUGCACGACAUGAUUGGUGGAAAACCGUUGCAGGGCGACCUAUGUUACAAACCGAUGCCACAUAUCGUGCGUGCAUAUAUGUAUGUAACAUCUCAUAACGAAACGGGCAUGCAGGCAUGCAGGGCGCGAAGGUCGCACUUACGUGUGGGGAGGCCAUGGUGUUGAGCACGUGGGGCUUGGGCACGUCUGUGGCGGGCGCGGCGGCGGGACUUGGCAUUGUGAAGUAAUACUUGUGGAAGUCCAGACCCUCCACCAGGUGCCCCACAGCCUCGGGCUCGAAGCAGGUGAGGCUGGGGUCGCAGAGGGCCUGUGUGCGGGUGGCGUAGUAACAAGCGGCGAUGAAGCGGCGAUGAGGGGGAGGCGGAGGGUGGAAACACAAAUACGGGUGCUUCCAUGCAAGGAACGGAUCCUCGCGGAGAUGAGCAGUAACGAUUGGAGGACGGGUGGAAGGAAGGAAUAACUCUAGGGAUGGCGGAUGGCUGUUAAUAAAUGAUUUGGGAGGCGGAGGGAGGUCGAGCGACGGGGGAGAAAGGACAUAAGAAUGUACCAAGGGCAUUCAUGGUUAGUUAUGUUGUGUCUGGAGACACGUAACCAUGGCAUAGGAGGAGGAGCGGUUUAGACGAGAGUGCGGGUGGAACAGUAUGAAAGAGUGAGGAUUACGGCAAUAAGCGACGAUGUGUAAUGUUUUGAAGGGAGGCACGGCUGUCAGGCAGGCAGGCAGGAAGCACGGUGCUGGUGUUCCUGCCAAGGGACUUAGGAUGGCGGGCCACGCAGGCAAAGGGCUCUGGGCCGGUGGAACAGUCGGCUCGGAAAUGCGCAGGACGUUGGGGACUCGCGGCCUUGGGGGUUAGCAGGCGGGGACGCUCUUUACCCCAAGAAGGAUUCAUGGGAGGCACGAACCAGCUUUGGUAAGCGUACAAGCCAUCUCUUUGAGAGCUAUUUCGAAGUAGAAAAAUUCCCACCCAUUCUCCUUUUAGCAGCUCAUAUAGCCUAGAUCCGCAGGUUUUUAAGCUGCCAGGCCAGGCCAGGGCUUGCAAACCCAAAGCACAACGGCCGAUCAUCCCGUCCGCACCUCAUAUGUCGCAUAGUCCCCAGCACCAAUUGCUGAGAGUAAUUUCUGGUUCAACUCCAGGACCUCUUGUGCGGCCAUCCUAUCAGUGCUGCGUUGUGCCCACCUUGAAGGUAAAGAUGCAGUUCGAACCCGGACCGGGUUGCGUGAAAGGGUGAUUGACUUUGAAUUAACUACGAUUCUGUUAAUCUGCAUUAUACGCAAUAGAGUAACUGAUUCCCCAAUACGUUGGCCGGAAGGUUGUGAAUGCACGACAUUAGGUGUAUGGAGCACGGUGCACGACGUAAGUUCAAUUUAGUUAAGCGAUCCUUCAAACGGAUACAGCAGCUGCUAAUUAUUUGUUACAGGGUUACGGAACAGCGUUAGGGCGUCGUCCCCUUAGUUGAGGUCUUCUAUGAAGAGCACACAAUCCCUGCUUUCCAAGCUGCAGGCGCCCGUGAAGGGCUGCCUGCAGCAGGGAUUAAUGGAAGGUUUGCGUUCCUUUUCUGCUCGCGCUCUGGGCUCACAGACUGAAGUAGGCUUAAGCAUCCUUGCAGAGGCUGCGAACUUGCCGAGCACGAGCAACACAGCUGGUGUUCAACUGCAGCAAACCCGUGGAAUGGGCUACGCUUACGCGCGAAAGACCGCGGACAAGGACUAUGUACACACGGCGCACACGCUGGCUUUCGGACAAACGCAGCUUACAGACUACAUCAUUAAGACUGUGCCAAAGUUUGUAAAAAUGGCUGUCGUUGGCCCAGGACAGAGCACCUUGCUGUACCAAGAGCCAACCAUAUACACGACGCCCGACAGCCUGCUGCCUCUCAUGACUUUUCUCCGCGACCAUGUCCAAACCCAGUUUAAGUGUCUAAUCGACAUUACCGCUGUCGACUUUCCGGAGCGCGCUGCGCGCUUUGAGGUCGUGUACCACCUACUCAGCCCACGGUGGAACAAUCGCAUCCGCGUCAAGGUGUGCGUGGACGAAGUCACACCGGUACCAUCCAUCUGGAAGAUCUUCAAUACGGCAAACUGGUUUGAGCGGGAGACUUGGGACAUGUUUGGCGUUUUCUUCUCGGGCCAUCCCGACCUCCGCCGUAUCCUGUCUGACUACGGCUUCACCGGCCACCCGCUGCGCAAGGACUUCCCCCUCAGUGGCUACACUGAGGUGCGGUACGACUACGGGAAGAAGCGCGUAGUUUCGGAGCCGCUGGAGCUGACACAGGAGUUCAGGUUGGUCCUGGGAUUUCGGAAGCCGCUGUGACACCCUGUGACUAGGGUAACUGAAAAAAGGAAGAUUGAUUGGCGCUUCAAGCUGCCCGGUGGCCUAGUAGACCGUAUCGAAGAGUUCCGCGGGCUGGCUCGCAUUGUGUGCGUCCUUGUGCUGUUGCCCUUGUGCACGAGCCUCCGGGGUGAUCCACAACAUGUAAGUGAAGCUGGAUCCUAACCCAGAUCAGGCCAUCAGAGGAUUAGCUGCAUUCGAUGGCGAUAGCACUCUUCGCAUGCCAUGCCCAUUUCCCACCCGUCUUCUUCUCUCCCACUCCUUCGCUCUCUCGCAGGUAUUUUGACUUCAACAGCCCGUGGGAAACUCUGAACCGUUGAGGUUGUAUCAUGCAUUCCCUGAACAACCCGCGCCUGUCUGUUCAGAGCCGCGUGGGUGGCCUGCCCCUUCCGUCCCUGGGAGGCUCACCAGCAACAGUAACAGUAACAGCAGCUGCAGCUCCUGCUCAUUCAGCCCUAAUGGUUCUAAUGCUGCAUCAAGGAUGUGUGGAAGGGUUAAGCUGGAAAGUGAUGUGGGCUUUGGCACGUGCUAGCAGCAGCAGCAGCGGCGGCGGGGCUGCGCCCUGUGUUUCUGAGGGUAGCGUGUCGGUACAGAGGGAAGCCCCCGACAAGUGCAUGGGGGGACGCUUCCCUGCAUUCUUAUCAUGCCAGAAAGGUGUACGGUGGGAAGAAAAAUACGUGAGGGCAGAAAUUCCAUUCAGAUCAGGACGCGGUCCGGAAUGCUGUCCUUUACUUUGUGUACGGAUACUUGCGUGGUUAGGACACUCCCCAGCUGGCAACGAUGGAGGCUGUACCACCGAGGGAGUUGACCAGGGGACACAGGUCGUGCGGCGGUAUUCCGCGGGCACUAAUGGAUUAUCUCUGGUGAUGAAGUAGGCGGCCGUGGCGGCAGCGGCAACAGUCCUGCAGCAGCAGCGACGUCAGUUUCUCGAGGCGACCGCUGCAGCGGGAGGUCCAGGUCAUCACUACCGUUUGUGCGAACGGGAUUGCUUGCUUGUUGGCGACGUCGUGGCACCUGUUGAUGCUGCCUCGUCCGGAGGGUACGGUGGCCCGGCCUGGGACCCUAUAGCUGUUGCUGCAGGGUAACUGCCUGAAUGACGAUAUUGACUGUGUAUGUGGACGAGGGUUUCCAUGUCCAGUCUCCGAGUAGUUGUUGCGGGCGCUGCUGAACCGCAGGCGUGUCCUUGCGUUUGUAUGAAAAUAAGCACAUAUUGUAUGUGUGUGGAUCAAAGGAUAACGGUCUCAGCUUAACAAUCUAGGCCAGUCGGUGUGUGUAAGUCUUGGAGUGCUUUAAAUAUUUGAGCUGGUGUGUGUGCAUCUGUCGGCCCUAUGUCGCUGCGCAGCGGCUCGUUUUCGGGCCGCAAAGCUUGGCGGUUGCGUUUAUGGCUAGCAAGUGGAAAAUCCGAGUGCUUCGGCCGCCUGAAAUUCUCUUCCGUCUUGCCGUUGCUUCGGGGUGGGCUUGGCGGCUUUAUUUUUGUGGAGGGUUAGAUAGCUCGUCUCGCCAACACGACCGCCGUCAUAGUUUCCCUCGCGAACCUCUUUGUGUGAACAUUGGUUGUUUGUGUAAAGAGCUGAGCAAAGCAAGUUUCCGGGCAAUAAUGUUUCUCGCCUUACAACCUAAAUCCAUAUGAUGAUACCAAAGGGCGGUAACUACGUUGUGCGGUUGAGAUGUGAAGAGGUUUGUGGCCGAGGGACCCGGACAUUUGCUUCAUAUACUACGUAUGGCAUGCUACAGAGUAUUCAUUAGCGGUAGUAUUACUGGUUGGGGCAUGACCUAUACAAACAGAGAUUGUGCUGACAUAAUUUGGUUUCGGCGCGCACUGCAAGGCGCACUAACGAACCCCCAGAAAUCUACAUCGAGAACAAGUUGACAUCUUGAGGGACACAAUAUGCAGAUCAGGGUUCUUUUGCCGUUCAGUAUGAAAGGAAAUGUUACCAAGUGAUCGAUAGCACUUUAACGCUCACGUAGCGGCGACCGCCGAUUCGCAUCUGUCACAUAUCAUCACAAGAUGAAGGAGAUUGAAGUGGAAAAGAUUGUGCUUGACUGCACAGCGCAGGUGCGAGCUCUUGGAUGGACGACAAAAGACAUUUUCGCAUAUUAUAUAUUUCUGAGCGGAAUUCUGCAUGGGCACACCUAUGCUUCGCGGGUUGUAAACUCAUUUUUUUCCAGCAUGAACUCUUAGCUCGCUCGUCAACAACUACACCCGCGGGCCCCAGCGCCCACCGGCACUCGUUCUCCCUCGCGCGCCCCAGAGAGCUUUGGCCGUUUCCGAAGUCCCUCACCGCAUACGUGCACACACUUCACAACCUUUCCUCCCUUCGCCUUGGACUCGGAGUCGGCCCCGAAAUACCGCUCCAGUACUCCUCUACAUCGCGCCCAACCCUUCACCCGCGGCAGCCCCCUCAACCGUUCCUUACCAACACCAACACCAACACCAGCACCAACCUCCUACCCCAAAUGGGCCCCCUUAGCCAAUGCCGACCGACUAUGGGUUGUCCCUCACCCGCAGAGAACUGCUGCAAAGAACUGCCGCCACCUUGUUAUGUGAACCCCCCCACUGGGCUUGCAGUUGCGUACCUUUCUAUUGACAUCGCCGGCACCACAAAACCCACAUCCCGCCGACUCCCGCCCCCUGGGGGGACUUUUCACCCCCACAGCCUACAGCGGCACACUCUUGCCUGGCACGACCCCCGCGUGUACCGAUGUCCACUCCCAAACCCUCCCUGUACCCACCCCCGCAUCCAGCAUCCAAUGUGUAAUGAACCGCACAUACAUACGUACACACAUCCCUUGUUCACUCAACCUACAGCACCCUUCAGACCGCACUCCGUACUCUCGACCCCCAUCCUCGACCCCAUCCUCAACCCCGUCCACACCCCCAGCCCUCAACCUCAACCUUCAACCUCAACCCUCAACCCUCAACCCACCGGCCCCACCUACCGCCCCCUCCCGCAGCUCUACUUCGACGCCCUCUACGCCGGCGAUGCGGCCAUACGGACCUUCCAUGCGGAGGUCAACGGGGACCCCGCCGCGCUGGUGGGCCGCUGGAGCGAGGCGGGCGUGCGGACGGUGCAGUUCGUGAUGCCCAUGAACGUGCCCGCCAUGCUGAAGAAGUUCAUUGGUAAGGGAGAUUACGGAUGGGUCGUGGUGAGCGAAAUGGUGAAGGUGGUGGUGGCGAUGCUGUGAGGUGGUGUUUGUGGGUGCUGGAGCGGGCAGUAGGAUGAAGGGGUGCGGAUGUGUGACAAAAUAGUGACGGAGUGAUAUGCAGGGCAUAUAUAUGUGUAUGUUUGUAUGUGUGUCUAUUGGACCCCGUACACUACUUCAUAUCUCCUCAUCCAGUAGGGCGAGUCCGUUUAGAUUGUUCUUACCCUUCCCCCUUGAACUUCCCGAUCAACCCCCGAACCCCUCCGACACGCAUACAUACAUACACACAUACGACAUACCCGCGUGCGCACGCAGGCAAGGACAGCGUGCCGGUGGUUGAGACUCAGCAGUUGGAGUGGUUGACUCCGGGAAAGGCCUUCAAGGUGGUUUCGGAACCGCAACUGAAUGUGAGAGGAAGACAGAGAUAAGGGGAGGUAACAUGCAGUGGGGCGAGGGGAAGCUGUCGGGGGGUCGGAGGGGGAAUCAGGGAUGUACGUCUGCAUGUGCCUCUGUACGUACGUACGUGCAAGUUACACGUUACAAGCUCCGCACAAGUGCGGGGUUGUCCGUAAAAGCCAGGGGGCCCAUGGCCGGUAAAUCGUUUUUAGUGCGGUUACGUGGUGGACCAUCAUCGUCCUCCCUCGUCCGCUUGAGCGCGAAGCGCCUUAGAGCAGCGUGCCGGGUCUCACAGACUUCCUAAAGGAACCUGGCUAGUGCCAGGGGCAAGUGUGUGUUUUUUUCGCACACAGCAUGGCAUCAUCGCAUUGGCAAGGACGGCCUCUACCUCGGCCUGCAUCCUGCUGGGCGGUAACUUCCUAACCCUGGGUAGGGGGAGAUCACGGAGAUUACCCGGCCGGGGGGGAACCCCCGGGGGCGGGAGGGUUGACCCGACAGUGGUGGCAGCGGGGGUUACGGGCGGGCUGGGGACAGGGAGGGAAGGUGGGAGCGGAGACCAAGGUGGGGCGAGAGGGAGAGGGAAGAAAAUUGAGCCCCAAAUGGAGUGGAGGGUGUAAACUGUCCUCAAUGCAGUGCUUAUCAGCCGCUAGCUGAUCGCCCACCGCACAAUGGCCAUAAUGCAGCUCUCGACACGACAUGUAGGGUGCGCAGGUUGCGUGCGGAGAACCCCGUAUACAUACACAGAUUAGUUGCUGGGGCAGUUUCCCGCUCAAGCCUCCCGGCCUGGGGUUAGGAGGGGGGUUAUGAGGGCGGGCGGUAGGUAGGAGGUAAGGAGCUUAGGGCUUAUAGCCCCUCAGGAUUCUGGUCGGAUUCCUUUUCCCUCGGUAAGGAAAGGCCCGUUUGCGCUCGACUUGAGUUCUUCCCAUUUCCGUCCCUCUCCCCGUCCCCCCCCCCCCUCCCCGUGAAUCUUCCUCGCCCCCGCACAACCCCCUUCGCACCGUUCUGCACCGUUCAGUUCCCCGGCGCCAACUCGUUCACCACCUCGGGCUUCCUGGAGGUUCGGAGCUUGCCGAAUGGAACAUGCCAGGUAUGCAGAGGGGAAAGUGGGAAGGAAGGGAAGAGAGAGAGGGGGAGGGGGAGGGGGAGAGGGAGAGGGAGGAGGAGAAGGAGGGGGAGGGGGAGGAGGAGAAGGAGGGGAAGCGUGAGAGGGCGGACAGAGGGGGGGGGAGGGAGGAGGAGAGGGUCUCUCCUCACCUCAGAGACUCAUCGUCGUCUUUUCCUUCACCGUCCCCCCGCCCUCCCACAACAACUCCUCGACACAACAACCCCCCAAACCUCCUCCAAUAUAACAACACCUGGAUCGCACUCAGUACGAAGUCCUCCGCAUUCGUACAUCCGUACAUCCUGGUGCCAUUCCGUCUCCGCAGGUGAAGGCGCUGGUACGGUGUUCCGCAGCCCUGCCCUGGCCCGUACAGGCUACGGUGGAGGGCCUUAUGGCCGCUGAGGCCGCACAAUCCAUUGGAACCUUCCUCGCUUUCUGUCAGCAGUUCUACGACAACUGGCGAGCAGAGCAGCUGCUACAGCCCGAGCGCCCAGCUGCUGCCGCCAGCGGUACCACCGCGGCAGCAGGCAUUGGUGGCGCCGGCAGUGGCGGCGAUGUGUUUUUCGAUGCAAUUGAAGACGAAUCGGAUUUGCGGAGCGUCGCCGGCGGCGAGGGGGAGAAGGGGGAGACGUCAGUUGUGCCGUACCAACCGCCACGGUUGGAGGACAUUAUCGUGGACUGUCUACGGCAGAUCCAGUCGUCCAGUGCGGAGACUGCUCGUUCACUCCGAAACCUGGAGGAGCUGCUCCGAAACAUGGACGAGAACAUGCAGGUGAUGAGAACCAGAGUGUUUGCGUUGCGAUUGGUGAAUUGGUUGCGUGGUUGGGUUGAGGGUUUGGGGCAUAAUAGAGUGUGUAUGGUGAUAGUGGCUUGCGUUUUUUUGAAUGGGGAGGUGCGUGUCGUAUGGAAUAGGAGUACGUCGGCAUGGUUGGUUGUUGGUUAUGGGUUGUUGGUUGUCUUCCAAUCACUAUUUUACUGUCGUCGUCACCGUCAGCUGAAGCCCAUCCUGGUCAUGAUAUCGCCAUCAUCGCCAUCAUUUCACUCCCACUCGCCUCUUUUGCGGUGACCCCGUAGAGAUGUUUUGAAAUCCCUCCUCUGUCCGUUUGGUUCCCUCUCCUCAGCCACCUACAUGUUACAUACUCCUUGCGAAACACGAUCAUGUACAGACAGAGACAGACAGAGACAGACAGAGACAGACAGACAGACAGACGCACCUCUUUCCUCAACACGCAGGUGGUCCGGGACAAACUGGCGGGAAGGGGACCACACAACCGUGGAGCAGGGCCAGGGGGAGGGGGAGGGGGAGGGGGCCGCACUGCCACCAACACAGCACGACCGGCCGCGGGUAGUGGCAGUGCCGCCUUGCCGUCGUCGUACAUUGGGUUUCUCGCCACCGCGUCGCUGUUAUGCGGCGCAGGCGCGUUUGUGUAUGUACGAUAUCGGUUCGGGACGGGCGGAGGAGGAGGAGGCGGGGGAAAGUAAGUUUGGAGGGGCCUCAUUCAGUGGAAGGGGGGGGCACACAUCGUUGCGGAAGACGGAGGGCUGGUGCCGUAUCUGGACGUCAGGGGUAUUGCUACCGUGUGAUGCAAGUUGGGGUUGCGGGGGGCCGUGUUGGGGGUGAUGUAUUCCUGGGGCCAUCAUGCAGAAAACUUCUUUGGCCUCCUCUGUCUUUUCGUUUGAGAGCUCCAUUUCUUUUCCCAAGAGGUUUUGGAGGUGCCAUCUUCCACAUAACUUGCGUGGUGUCUCUUCCUUGAGGCGGCGUUCUCGGAUUCGAGGCGUGUGAGAGUGUGAGAGAGCAGUGCGACUGCGCGCGCGUGCAUUGUAGGAUUGGGGUUCUUAGGGUUUUACAUCGUGCUGUGCUGGGGGGAUGGUGCCGUACCUCCAUUCUCGAUAUAUCUGGAGUAGUACGCGAUUGGUCUUUAAGUUUAAUUUGUGUUUGAAUUUACGAGAGGGUAUUAUAUUUAGAUCCUCUGCAUAUCAUAUUCAUGUGCAUUGCGGCGGCCGCAUCAUUUGCUGUGUGCCCUGGGGGCGGUCACGGUGGCGGUGUCAGACACCAUUUCGCGUUGACGCGGUAUUGAGAAAAGCGAUUCUUGCCGCGGAGAGGUCGCGUGAAUGAAUUAGGUGUUUGUGUAAAACGUGGUGAAGGGAAAGAGGACAGAGGCGCCCCAGGAGGCGGGGGUGACUGAGGGCCUCGCUACGAAGGGGCGGCUAACGUAGACAACAAAACCCCUGUGUUUUUUGCCGUAUGGUGGCGCACGUAUACGCGCUGUCACUUUGAUGCUUUUAUGAGUGCCUGCGUGCAUCCUGAAUUUCUAUUAUGCUUUUUGUUGACCGAACCAGCUUGGAAAAUGUUUGCAGAUGUAUACAUGACGGUGGUGAUGGUGAUGAUGGUGGUGGUGGUGAUGGUGGUUGUUGUUUGGGUAUAUAAAUGGGCUAGAUAGAUAGAGAGGAGUUGCAGCCGAAUUUUAAGUUGUGGUCCGCUGUGAGGUCGUUAGGUUGGUCGUUAGGACGUCCAUCGGGGUUUGCAAAACGUUCCUCUCGAUGUAUAUGGGAGAUGCGUGUCUGCCAUCCCGCCGAGCCAGGAGGGGGCUGACCUAGCGGCUGCAUGGUGGCUUAACAGGCAGCGUGAGUGCAUAUGACUGUCCAUGACUUUCUCUCCGUGUGCUGCGAGGUUGUGGGCUGUUCUGCUAAUUAUAGGGUUCACGUCCUUUCGCAGCCGGAAGAACAUGACAGGGCGUGGCGGGGGGUAAGGAUUGGCCGCUGCCAUCCCUCCUUCGGGGUGGCGGCCGCUUCAGGACGUGUGGAGGUGAAGAUAGAUGUCUUUCCUCCGGCCGUAGGGGGCCCGUAGGGGGCCCCCUUGCGGAUCUGGAAAGUCAGUUCACUGCAGGUCAGCUGGCUGACAUUCUCUUGGCAAAGUUGUCCGAAAUGGGAAUGGGAGUGAGAAUGGGGCUCCAUACCGCCAUCACGGGAGGCAGCCAGACUGCAUGUGGCGUCGUAUUAUGCCUUGUGCGAAGCCUGGUUCGGCCAAAAGAAAGGUCCUCUAACCACCCUUGUCAACUUCAUGGCCCGCGAACCUGAUGCGAACUUGAUCCCCUUGUGUCCGCAUGUCUAAGUCUACACCUCGAAAGAGCCUGGGAGCCAAGGGGCCGUUUCCGGACACCUAUAGGGAUGCUGCUCACAAGGGGGGGGGGGCUCGUGGGCGACAGCUUGGAAGGGAGGGUUCACGCCACGCGCACACACGGCCCCAUAAGCGGGUGCCUUGCAUGCACAGACCAAAAACCGUUGUACCCGUGUUUGUUGUCGUCGGCAGCAUCAUUCACACACACGUGCACGUGCGGUUGUUUCAUGGCCUCUGGAUUCGUUCCCCAGCCUGGCCAGGGCAGUAGGUCCCGUCUGGAGUGGUUUCGUCGAAACUCAGAUCCUGGGGUGGCCCUAGCCACCCACAACAGCGUCCGCCACUUCAUUGUGCUCUGCCGGCGUCAAGCUCUUCCCUGUCACCAUGAUCAACUUCCGCAGUUUCAAUCCCUUGCCACCACUUCAUCGCGGAUUGCUUCUUUCGGUUAUAUUGCUCGCAUGCCAUCCUCGCCAUCUCACGUCUCAAUUAAUCAAAAGACAUAUACAUACGUGCAUGGCGCUACGUCUACACCACACACUAGUUUUACUUUCACCCGUUCCGGCGUCACAGCAAAACUGCAAAACCGUCAAAACGAAACCAGGAAUACGCGGACGUGUGUCAAUCACAGCUAGCCUGCAGUCGGUGGCCAGGCCGCCGUGUCCAGGAGUGUCUUCAAGAGGAGUCAAGUCAAACCUUGCCGCGGGUAAAUGUUUAUGCAUCUCCUCAUGGCUGUAUUACCAAGCAAUGCGUGAUCUGUCCCGCAACUUCUCAAUCCUACACUAGGUGUCACACGUUUCUGUCCUACUAGCUACUGGAGUGCGCCUAAGUCAUAGUCCUAUGUCUCCCUAGCACACCUCUUGCAUCCGUCGGAACACCUUACACACGUCUGCGGUUCGUUGUCCAUCACUGCACUGCGAUAAGGAGUUGUUUCGACCGUUGGCUGCAUCUUCGAGCCGAAUAAACACGUGGCAACAUCAGUGACAGCAUUGACAGCAGUAGUGGCGUUCUCGCGUUACAUAGGCACGCUGCCUCAAGGUAGGAAGGAUCACCCGCCAGCCAGCUUUUGAGGUGUUCGGAGCGAGAGCACAAAGACCCACAUUCAUCCUACUACACAAACAAGGAUAACCAUGUGUCCGAGCGAGAGUAAUAAGUUCCAAUUGUUUAUGUAUCCUCGACCCCUCCUUGUUUUCGUCAUUAUUUGCACCAGAGGACGGUACACAACCAUAGCCUUGUCAGAAUCCACGAAUACUCCUCUUCCCCCACCACCUCCCCUUCAUAGAUAUGACGUGUCUAUCUCUUCAUUCCCUGCUUGCCACACCGAACAAGUGCGCCCACAUGGUUCAUCCUUCCACCGCCUCAACCCCCAAACACCUGCGCAGCAAUCCAUCAAACGACUAACUGCUGCCCCCUGCAGGAGCCCCAAGCCAUACAUGACUCCGGACGGGCCACGCACUUGUGCACUUGUGCUGAGUGAGUCAGUGCGUGAGUCAGUGCUAACAAUCCCGAAUCCUGAUCGGAUAAUGAAUGAAUGUUUAUGCCAUUGAUGUGGACAAUGCGGUGCGGCCAACUUGCGCGUAAAAGUGGGAUGUUGCGGUGCGUGUUGAGGUGCGGAACACAAGCAACAACUAGCUCUCAUCUAUGCAAAAAUACAUGUUAGCGUUGGCAGUAAGUAAUUGUAUGCCGUCCAUCAAUUGGUUUUCGAGGUGUGACCUGCCUAGCCCCCACAUCACAUCACAUCCACUAUGGGCAAGGGGGCGCAUAUUCGCUGUGAUGCCACCGCUCGCUCGACCUCUCACAGCAGCAGACUUUAAAUUUGGAGGGGGGGUUGGCGCCCUGCCUUCAUUGGUGAUGCGGACACCACAACACCGCAACUACUCCACCAUCCAAUCACGUCUACCUAAUCAACCUGUCAUUCAACCCACGAGAGCAGUGUUGCAUCAUUAUUAUUUUUUAGGUCCUGCACCUAGCUAGUCACCUAAUGUGAUAUCCGCAUGGUUCCCCGGGAGCCUCCUGCUCAGUAGCCCUGCACUUGGGUGUAUGUGUUGUGCACGACGCAAUUGGCGCUCGCUGCACUUCUUCGUCUAGCGUCCUCCGUCUACCUUCCACGAAAUCAGGACCUUGCAUAGGAAGUAAGCUAAAAACAGGAAAGCUCCACCGCGUUCCCCGCACGCUCUGCUCCAGCUGUAUCCGGCCCGGUGCAGACUGUCUUUAGCCUCGCACCUGAGGCCGAGUAGCCAAUGCGCUGCAGCAUGUUUAACUAACCAAGCAAGCAAACCACCACUCCCAACAGGUGGUUGAGCGCAGUCGGCGUGUGCUCUACGCCCAUAGUACGCCGAUAUGCAAUGCUCUGCGCCUUCCGAACGCAGUGUGCGGUCGCUGUGGGGUGCGGCCGCCACCGCCGCCGCCACCGCCGAACGCCAACACACCGAUUAAGGUGAAGCUCGGGACCGCCGCCACCGCGGCCACCGCCGCUUCCUAGAUAGAGACCCCCCCUCUCCCCAAUCUCCCUCCACACAUGCUCACCCCUACCCAAAGGUCACUGCUUCUUCAGAUCCACCUUCUACUCACUACCCCCCACCUCCUCCUCCUCCUCCUCCGCGUCCACGUCGUCGUCAGUAACGAGGUCCAGGACCUCCCUGUCACCAACCCCCGUGGGUUCAUACCCACCCUGCUCCCCCGCGACCAGCGUGACCUCCACCACCGCCACCUCCUCCUCCAUGACAUCUACCUCGUCGUCGUCACCCCAUUCCUCCUCCUCCUGCUCCUCCUCCUCCUGCUCCUCUCCCUCCUCCUCCUCCUCCACCGCCACCUCCUCCUCGUCCACCUCCUCGGGGCCCGCCAGCCACAGCCCCUCACGGCUCUGCAGCGCCGCCUGUGCACACCGCACCACCACCCCUUGCUGCUCACCCUGCGGCUGGUCCGCGCCCGCGCCCGCACCUGCACCCCCCGCAGUACCGUUGGCCCACUUCCACGCCGCUUCCCAAGCGGGGUCGGGCACUCGAGCCACCCCGCCAGGCGGCACCAACCCACACAGCGCCAGCGCCAUGCAGCGCCCCAUCGCCUGAGCCACAGGCGGCGGCCAGCUGUUGCCGAUCUGCGGCGGCGACGGCGGGGGUGGAAGAGGGGGGUGUGUGGAGAGGGGAGGGAAGGGAACGCACGAAGGGACAGAUGUUAUUCAACAUCUGGACCAUUUGUUUAGAAUACAUAUAUGUGGGGGUUCCGGGUGCCCUGCCCUGCCCUGCCCUGCCCUGCCCUGCCCUGCCCUGCCCUGCCCUGCCCUGCCCUGCCCUGCCCUGCCCUGCCCUGCCCUGCCCUGCCCUGCCCUGCCCUGCCCUGCCCUGCCCUGCCCUGCCCUGCCCUGCCCUGCCCUGCCCUGCCCUGCCCUGCCCUGCCCUACCUGGGUAUACGCAUCCGCCGCCACCCGGCGCAGCAUGUACCAGGCCGUCUUGAGUCUAGCCGGCCAGUGCAGCCCGCCCAGAUCGCCAGCUUCACCACCACGCACACCGGCGGCCACCGCUGCGGAGGCAGCUGCUGAUCCUCCCGCCGCCGCCGCCGCCGCCAUCGCCGGCGCUCCUGCUGCCCCCCUUUCCGCUGCUGCAGGUGGCGCGACUGCAGGCGCCUGGUUCCCGUCCUUGCCCUGCAGUGCGGCCGGCCCUACGUGAAGCAGCCACUCCAGUCCCCGAAUGGCGGGCUUGACGAGGGCUUCGGAGCGGGAAACGAGGCCGCUGUGGUUUCGGAGGUGCCCCAGAAAGGGGGACUCGGUGGACAGGAACACCAUGUGGAGGCUGUAGCCCUGUAUGUAUGUACGUACAUAACCAUUGGUACCGCACGAUCACAUGGGGUGAGACGGGGUAAGAUACCCCACGUAGGGCGAAGGGAGCGCAGUAAGUACGACAUUACUCACCACGACGUGCAAAGCACCUAAGAGGUACUAAGAGGGUGCGACAAGGGAGGGGGUUCCACAGGACAUACAUACGGGCGACAUAUGGGAUACAGGACAUGGAAACGGCGGGACAGGGGUGGGUGCUCUUCAUGUGUGAAUAACAAAAAGCGUAUGUAUGUCAGCAGGCGUGUGGCGCGCGGCGACAAGCAGGAAAACCGCGAGGAAGGGGACCAAGGGGAACGCUGCCCGGAGGUGUCGGAGCCAAAACUGCCAAGGAUUCGACAAGGGGGCACGCGACGGCGGGCGCGGGGGACCUCAAAAGUGAGGGAAUGGAAUCAGGGGGGGAGGGGGAGGAUGUCAUAGGGGGGGGAAGACGAACCACACACGAUUGAAGCUGCUGCCAUGGGGGGGGGAAGAGGGGCAAGGGCAGCGGGAGGGAAGGGAGAAGAGCGCAGGGGUGAAUGAUAAGGCUGGGGACCAGGACAAGCUACCCCCCGCACCUGCACAUCCACAUCCACAUCCACACCACGCCAUCCACGCACGCACACGCACACACGCACACACGUCCAGGCCUCCCGCCCACCUGCACACAUGCCCGCUCCCGUGGUGUGAGCACGCGGUCCUGGUUCCAAUGCAAUAUCGAGUCCUUCACCGGCUUGAUCGAGCGGCUGCUGCCACAUACAGUGCCCAGCACCUGCAGCGGGUGCAGGCGGCCAAAGGGCUUCCCAGGGAAGCCGUAGCUGAGGGUGCCGUGGGGCUUGGCGGUGGAUCCGCUGCCGCCGCAGCUGCCGCUGCCGCCGCCACCGCCGCCGUUACCGCCGCUGCCACCGCCGCCGCUGCCGCCGCCGUUACCGCCGCUCCCACCGCCGCCGCUGCCGCCGCCGUUACCGCCGCUGCCACUGCCGCCGCUGCCGGCACCGCUACCGCCGCCAACGGUGUUUUUACCCAUCGCCGUGGCUUUCUUCGCGGCUUUCCUGUUCAGACUGUACGGUGGGGUUUGGGGGUCAGCAGCGGCGAUGGUUCAAGACGGGUGACAGGAUGUCACACACAGUGAUUUUUUUUCAUUUAGGGGGGAUCUCAAUUUAUUCCGACCUAAGAACAAAGUUGCUAGCGUCGCCGUAAUGUAUUCCUUAAGUGUGGGGUGCNNNNNNNNNNNNNNNNNNNNNNNNNNNNNNNNNNNNNNNNNNNNNNNNNNNNNNNNNNNNNNGUGGCUACGCCCCCCCCCAGACCCCCCCCGAUAAGUUACAACUCCCCUCAUAGACCAAGAGGCACGCACUGCGUUGGCGCGUUUUCGUUCAUGUGCGCACUCUUCAUGCACAUGCAUAGAUAGUUCUGGCACUGUUUGUGAACAAAAAGUAAAUCCGACAAAGCAAAGGCCCAAAGCAAGCAACCGCAUAGCAAAUCAAAGGCCGUCACCCGCCACUGCAAACCACAGCACACUUAAGGACUCUACCGGUUCAUCAUGUACCGGCCCCUGCUGCUGCUGUCCAGCCACUCCCUCAGUGCGUCACAGAACGGGAACGUGCCCAGGUCGAACAGGUCCUGGGUAAACAUCCGCACACACAAUGCUAGGUGCUCGUCCAGGCGGUUGCGGGUGGGGUCCUGCAAGUACCCCAUGGCCGAGAACCGCCACCCAUCCUCCACCGACCCUGGCACCAUCACUAACACCAGCUGGGCCAAAGCCGAAUACUCCGUUAAGCCGCCGGCGAGGACCGCACAGUUGCUGAUGGCCUGCCACACCCGUGCUGUGGGUGUGUCAUCGAGCAGCACCCGGUGCUCACCCGUUUUUGGCUGGAGGAAUGAAAAUGUACGGAUCGGCCUCAAUUCAUUCCUUUUUUCCAAAGGCCAAAAUGGCCUCUUUAUUCCUUAAAAGGAAUAUAUUACUUAAAAACAACACUGUUCACACAUCCCCAGCGGUGUACAUCAGUGCUUAGAUACAUCCAAAUAUGGAAAAAUCGAAAAGUCGCGAACGGCUUUCCUCCAUGCCUUUCUUCAAGCCUUCCUAAAAACCAUCACCAUCACCACCACCACCACCAAAAACACCGCGCCACACACAGCCCCUUCCCCUCAUACGUCCCUCUUGUACAGCUAGGUAGGUAUCCACCACCACUCACUCACUGGUAUGCCAGGUUGCCGGGGAGGAGGGGGGCGCCGCAGGGGAGCAGCGCCUGGGAGCCACCUGCCGCAGGGGCCGCCGCGUUGAGGUGUUUCGCAAGGUAGGUACAUACAUACAUGCAUACAAACCGAAUAUGCGCAUGUAAAAGGAAGGAGACGAGGGGAAAACCAAUCAAGGUGAGCGUUGACGCCGGUGAAGGGCAGUGAGGGGUGGUAGGUGCGGAUAGGAGCGGAAGCUGAGGAGCUAGCUAAGCGGGGCCCAACGGGUGGUAAGACGAAACAUAGACAAUUGCCGCGAAGAGGAAAACAUAGGCGGAUGCUCCAAGGCAAGACCAAUACCGUAGGAGGAGAACACGUAAGAUAGGCGGCGAGAGGGAACCCUUUGAAGGGGGCAUUCAGGUGCUAUGGAAGAAGCAAAGGAAUAGCUACUGCCGACCCGCACCCCCCAACCCCCCGACGACUCACCGGGGGCUCGCACGUCCCCCCAGCCGGGGCUAGCACCUGGCCGCUGCGGCACCUCCUUCACCCGCUCGUAGUCGUCAAGAUCCAGAGGGUACGGCAGGUGGUUGGCAACCAGGAUGGGUAACGGUGGCGCGGCCGCCGCUGCGGUGGCUACUGCGCAUCUGGUCAUCGUGCCCGCAGCAGUGGGCUGUAGGCUGCCGCCACUGCCACUGCCACUGCCACUGCCACUGCCACUGCCACUGCCACUGCCACUGCCACUGCCACUGCCACUGCCACUGCCACUGCCACUGCCACUGCCACUGCCACUGCCACUGCCACUGCCGGCCCCCAGCUGUUCCUCCCCCGCCCCCUCCCGCUCCUGCCCCUCCGCCUCCUCGUGGCCCUCCAACCUGGCUAGCUCCUUUUGCAGGCUUCGGAGACAUUGCGGCGCGUGUUUGAGAGACAGCUCCAGCGCCUCUCGGGCACUGUCCAGCACCUGGUGGGACGGUUGUUGGUUCGCGGUUAUUGGAUAGUUCGUUAGGUGCGGUUGGUUGGUUGAUUGGAAGCUCGCCAGCUAGCUGUGUCAUUGGGAACGACGGAGACCCUCUCCUACGUCCCGACCAGCCGACCAUUGUGGAUUAGGCGUGGGUUGGUUGCUGGGGGACGGGACGUAGGGGGGCAGGUUGGGCAGGUUGCUAACCGGAGCGAUCCUCCGAUUGAAAGGAUCACGCCCAGCCUUGCCUGAUAUAGUGCUACAGGAUACUUUACAUGUACGUGGUGCACAUGCAAACCUCCAACGACACACGCACACGCACACACUCAACUGCUGCUACAACUGGCAACAUCAUCGAUGUGGACCGUUGUGAGCAAAUACCCCCAUCCCUUAGGUCUGUGCAUCUGAUAAAAGCGUGUCAGGCCUCCCACCCACCCACCCAGUCAGUCAGUCAGCCUGCCCAGCCAGCGAGCCAGGUAUGGCAGCCAGCCGGUCACCUACCUCUCGGCCCACUUGCAGGUAGGACUGACGCCUGGGGCCUUUCGCUGGGAUCACGAGCUUGGGCAAAGGGCUUCCCACAAGAGGCUGCUGGGACUGCGGGCCCUGCUUGCCGUCCUGAGCAUCGUAUUGCAGUAAGCGGGGAAGGAGACAACAGCGGCGGAGUCACUGCCCCAGCGGCGGCGGCAACGAUGACUAUUGGUAACAGGGACUACCGUCCUCCCCCAGUGAAAACGUACGGCGGUUUGCGUACCAGUCAUGAUGACGAUGAUGUGCACAUCCACAGUAACAACAACGGCACUGGCAACCUAAGGCGGUGUAGAGGCUUCACGAGGUGGAGAAUGGUGGAGCGUCCAUUCAUGAUGAGAAUUAAAUGCGCCAACAACACGACAUAGCGCUAUCCCGGCCUGGGGCACCGAGCCCGGCCUCCAUGUACAUCAUCGUCAUGGCUGGUGUCUCAAUGAACUGAGCAGGACACCUGUACAUGUGUGUUGUUACAGGGUGGUACAGCUACACCAGCGGCCCCCUUUCCCGGGGCAGUCCCUGUUCUCCCAUGCUAGAGGGGCACCCUAAUCCGUCACCCCAUCCGACUUCAGAAUGUAUUCGUUGGGUUCGGCAGCUCACCACCAGCAUCAAACCAAAUCUAGCGGAUCAACAGCGCCUCAACUCAGUUCCUGGUCAGCUCGCAAGUUGAUAUUGUCACUUCCUACUGCGUCCAAAAGAUGGGUUCCCACCUCCCAUUUCAACACCUCUCACACAGCCGAGAGGCCGGCAGGCGGAUCUGAACCCGGACAAUCCGGGAGCAGAAGUCAGGCCUAUGCCAGUCGCCUGCCUUAUGUAUAUGUGUGUAUGUAUGUCCAUUUGGGCCCGUAAACAUUGAUACCAUUGAUGGACUCCCCCAUCCUCCAUCUGCGGAUGAAGACCCGGAGGCCAGUAUGGUAAUGAACGAGGGACGCGACGCCCGCGCCUGCGUGUUGUGGUGGUGAUGAUGAUGUGCUGAUGCCACCCGCCAGUUCCCGGAUGGCACCAACACGCCGCCGCCACACGACCCACCUCUCUGCCAGGCGGCCAGACAGCACUACCCCUCGUACCCCCCCUGUAAGCACCCCAUGCACCACCAAGUCCAACGCAUGCAUGCACACAAACAAACCCAUGCCAUUACUUACUUACGCAUGUAUAUAUGUAUGUAUGUAUGUAUGUACGUCCGCAGCAAAAUUCACGACAUCCAGGACCUACCUUGCCGGCGGGCAUCCUCCUGGCGGGAAUCAGGACGGCGAUGACGGCGCCCAGCCGCACCUGCAUUCACCCGCGGUUCACCAGUGCAGCAACACACGGGUUACGUACGCAGCAGUGAUGGUGGGUGCGUCCAAUACACGCGCCUGCAGCCCUGCCUCUGUCCAAUCACGGCACCCGGGUGGGCGGUAGUACGGGGCUACGGGCCCUCAACCAUCUCGCCCAUCAUCGUAGGCAUCAUCCAGCCUUUCAUCAUCCCCCACCCAGUGGGGCCAACGAGGGCAUUGUACACACACAUGUCCAAUAACAGAUCAUUCAUGAAUGCACGCACUUGAAACAAAAUUGUUGGCUGAGUAGAUGUGACGGAGCGAAGCGGUCGGAGCCUCUAAGUCUGGUUCUGUACGACUGCCGUACGAGCCGGAUUGCACUUUCAUUACCAUCCAGCGGUUUCCCCUGGAGAAGCUUCCAUUCUGCGCGCACUUCACUUCACUUCACUUCAUUUCACUUCACUACACUCCACUCCACUCCACUUCACUUCAUUCAGUAGAGCUUUCAGCUCAAGAGGUCAUUCGCCAAUUGCCCCCUCCCCCCUUCACUACCCUUCAUCCCCCGCCCUCCUCUCCCCCCCCCUUCCGCUCCCCUCCCCAAUCCUGCAGCGUAAUGACCAGUGGCCCCUCUUCCCUCCUCCUCCUCGGCAUGUACGGCACGUAAGUCACUCGGCAUGUACUAGCUCCUAACACCUCCAGAUCCAGGUCAGGGGAGACAGCAGAGCUCCCAACAGAAAAGCAGUUAGUAUUCCUCCGUCCGUUCUAAGGAGCUGUUGGUCGUGGUGGAUGCUACACAAACGACUGCCCUGCCCUGCCCGAGCCGGCCCGACACCGCCUGGUGUGGGUCGGCCGGUUCCCCACCAGAGACAUCAUUCUCUUAGCUAUUAGUCUACCAUGUUGUUAGCAUGUAGGUAGGCCCAUCCCGUGGCAAGGGUGGCCCCCUCACCUCCUUCUGGGCCCGACGUCGUGUAAGUACGGGCUGGAACCCCAAUGUACGUACAUACAGACGUACGUACGUGAUGAAGCCGCCGCUCAGGAGACGGAGGGCUCGUGGGAUGCACGUGUAGAGCGCCUUCUCAGCAACAAACAUGGCUUGCGUGUGAACAGUACUGUACGACAGUUACCCACCUGCACCUACUACACGGGCACUGCACCCGUUCAGCCCCGUACGGCACUCACCAAGGCCUCCUCAUCGACCUCCUGCUUGAACAGCUCGCCCUGGGCGGGGUCGGGUACGGCAUCCCCACCAGCAGUAGCGGCACCACCACCACCGCCUGCCUGGGCACCCACCACAGCGCGGCCACCGGAACCGCGCCCCCCACCUGCACCACCUCUAGCAGCCGCCGUCGCCUUCCCCGGCGAACCUUUGACGCCCGCCGCCUUUUCCGACGUCGCCGUAGGCUGUGCGGCGGCCGCCACCGCGGUCCGUUUCGCCUCCUGACGGCGCCGCCUGCUCCGCCGUUUCUUGACCGCGGCCUCCGCCAUGCGACACAACUGGGUGUGAACGUGCAGUACCGCGCACGGGAAGGCCAGUACCGCGGGUGCGGUGUUUCCUAAGUAGGCAGCGAACCGCAGCUCGGCGGGCGGUGUUCCCUCGGGGGGCGGCUGGGCCAGCACGUGCUGCAGCGGGUAGUCCAAACGGCUGUGGUGUAUGCCGGUGAUGGUGAUGGUGGCGGUGAUGGUGGCGGUGAUGGUGGCGGUAGGUGACGGAGUAGGUUGGUCGUGUCGGUAGCCGUGGCGGCAACCGUGGUGUUUCGGAGGACGAGUGGCGGUGGUAAAGGCGUAGGAGGUGGAGGUGGAGGUCGAGGUAGCAAUCAUGAUGGUCGCGUGUGGAGGGGGUUGUAUCGCCGUCGGGAGGAAGGGUGACAGGGUAGAGAGUGGGCCCAGAAGCGAGAGAGAGAAAUGGUGAGAUGGCGAGGGCACGGGCGGUGUGGGUAUCCAGGAUGAGGGUGAGGGUGAGGAUGAGGGGGGCCAUGGCCACAACGUAACGCGAGUGGGUCAUUAUCGAUGAGGGGGAGGAAGGGGAGGGGGAGGGGGAGGGGGAAAAGACGAACCACGAGCGACUGAAGCUGAUGCCAAGGAAAGACUGCUGCGGCAGAUGUAAAGAAAUCAUAACUAACCAGUCGGCGUUUUUGAUGCCAUGUCAUCCUUUUCAAUACACCAGAGAGCUAGCUACACGCGCAUACCCUCUCACACACAUACAUACGUACAAAUGUACUCAGACAUCACAUAAGAAAACAGCAUGAAAAUCAAACUAAAUGGUUAACGGAUAGUCGUGUCUUAAGAAAAAAACAAGAUAAUUCAGCUUUUUUUAGGAAUUGAUACAAAAAACAAAAAACAAUUAACAUAAAAAAAAUAAAAACCAAUUUCAACAAUCACAAAAAACGGUGAAAAACAACAAACAACUUAAGCCUUACUGGACGCAGGUCACGGGGGACAUGCUGUAGUUUCCGCGCUUCGCCAGGUUGGACAUGGCGUCGUCCAGAGUCUGUCGUACAUGAAGUCGUGCGGGCGAGGGCGGGCAGGGUAAGGCGAAAUGCACUUUGCAAUUUGCACUUUUCUGCGGCACUUACGCGGACGCACGUACGUGGAUGCAAAUCAAUCAAUUGUUGAGGUUCUGCACCCCGAUUGGGACCCUGAAAACUUCAACAAGCAUAUCGCCUACCCGCUAUUGAAGAUGUUUCAUCGUUCCCAGCACAUACAGCCGCUCUGCUAGGUAGGAGCCCUGCUAGGUAGGAGCCCUGCUAGGUAGGAGCCCUGCUAGGUAGGAGCCCUGCUAGGUAGGAGCCCUGCUAGGUAGGAGCCCUGCUAGGUAGGAGCCCUGCUAGGUAGGAGCACACACGCAGGACUGCCGCAAUGCAGCAAUGGUGUGUUUCACCGCCACCAUCAUUCGCAUGAAAGCCGUUCCCACAAGCACACAACUGCACUAGCCUUCUACACGCGACCCCCACAGCUACCCCACUACCUUGCUGGUGGGGUAGAUAGGAUCCGUUAGGGCGCACGCCAACCCACUGUCGUCGACUUGGCUGGUACCUAAACCAUGCCGCUACAUGCCUCCUACAUGCAUACACAGGCAACCCACCUGAUGUCAGUACCCCCCGGGUAACCCCCUCUGCUCCCUCCCCCCGGGGCAAACCCCCCCGGGGCGGGCCCCCCCCCCGAGCUACCUGACUGGGGUACAGCAGAGCGCCCUCCCCGGCCUUGGGAUAGCACCGCCGCAGCGCCCUGCGUGUAAUAUAAUGGCACAACACGGUGCACCGCCGAGUGCAGGGACGUUUUUGCCCAUCUAGGCGAUUGCCUUGGUUGCGUGUUGAUUUCGCUGCUGCUGCCAUGCUGGUGGUGGUGGUGGUGGUGCAAGGGUGGGUGGGAAAGACAUCCACUUGUCAUUACAGUCACGCAGGGAGCCCUUCCCCCGGAGAGUAAGACGCAGGGUGAGGGCAAGGGAUUGAGUGUAUGUGCACAGACGUACAUAUACAUCGCCCUGAAGCGGGCGAGGAAGGAGGAGGAUGACCUCCCGCGUACCCGCAUCAAUAUCAAUACAACGUCCAUGGCCCCCCCGCUUUUACGGACACACCCGCACUUGUGUGCGGAAUUGUAACUUACAUAUACAUACAGCACAGCAGCCCGACAUGCUGCACAGAGAGCCUACCUACCAGAGCCCCCUGGGGGUAAUCCGCCCUUCCAACUCAUAGCGGCUUUCAACAGGGGCGCACUCCCCACCCCCCACCACACUUCUCAUGCCAUGCAAGUCCCAACUAAGGGCUGACUCCCGCCAGCCUUCAGAUCCCUUCAGAUGGCCCUCAAACCGACCUCCACACCGGCCCUGUGGCGGACCUCACCCCACCUCACCUCAUAUGCCGCCGCAAUGACUUAGUCACCAACAAGCCAUCAGGCCCCACAGGCAGCUGCAGAGUCCGGUAGAACUCAGGACGCGGCACGGGCGGCAACGGGAGCCCUGAAGCGGCGGCUAUCAGGAAGAGACGCGGACGGAUCUGGGGGGGGCCCAAUAUCAUAAUCGUUGGGGCCGGCGGAGGGCGACGUAGGUGAGGUGAGUCCGAAAUGGACCGCUACGUUGCAUGCGUGGAGAGUCAGUCGAAACCUUGAACCCAACUAGGGUGGCGGGGGGAGGAUUGGUUAGGCCACCGGGUAGGUGGCGAGGACACGAAUAAUGCUAAGGGGUACAUGUAACAUAGAUAAGAGAGAUCCAAGAAGGUGGCAAAGGUAUCAAUAUCAGGUAGGCAGGGUCUGUGUACGCAACUUCACUUCACCGGCGGCAAUAUGAUGACGUUUUUAUGGUGUUUUGCUGCAUAUAUGUGCCCCUCUACCUGCUGGGUGCCGAACUGCGCUGCACACCCGCACGUCGGUUUUAUCAAUCAAUUCGCUGCGGUUUGGUGGGCUCAACAACAUACCUAAGAGGUGGAUAAGAGAAGGGGAACGAGCUGGAGAAAGAAAGAAAAGGUAAGGAAGAGCAGGUGAAGGUUGGAGCAGGAUGAACUGCGCCAGCAUGCUGCAUGCUGCGCUUAUGGACCCCUACCCUGCUGACACCUUCGCCACGACAGCCAUAACGCAUGCAGUACCAUAAACCAUCGAACAUGCACAGUUAACCACAGCUACAAUACACGCCUGCCGCCCAGCUACUGCUGACCCACCUGCGGCACUCCGUGAGCCGCUGCACGACCCGUUGUAUGUGAUGUGAUGUGGCCAUCACCGCAAGGUACACAGAACACACCGCAGUUGGUGCAAAUAGCACAUUGCCGAAAUCCGUGUAUGCCGUACGGUGCGCCCCGCAGCCCAAGCGCGUACCACAGGAGCCAAUUGAAGGAGCCGGAGAAGCGCCCGAGGGGGAGGAGGAGGAGGAGGAGGGCGUCCGGUAGCGACAACAGAACGGAGUUCAGGGAGGGCGGGUGUACGGUCAGGUCAGGUGCGCGCGCGUGGGAACCUAUAGGCCGCCGGCGCAGCGCGGGGGUAUUUAGCACAGCGGGGUUGACUGGAGACACAACCAUCAUCACCAAACAUACAAGCCAACCGCGGGGGCCGUAAGGCAUAAGACUAGGCCCCAUACUAGAACCCUAUCAGGUAUAUCUGCCCGGCAAUAAGCCUUUACAUCAUACAAACUGUAGCGAGACGACCUAAGCGACCUAAGCGACCCAAGACGCCUGAUCCAUGCCUGCCUCUGUCUCUGUCCAUGCCUGUCUCAUCCAACGCUGUCCGAUGCCUGAUCCAUGCGAGACAGUCACAGAUGCGUGAAUCAUUAACGCGCAGCACCCAGCUAGCCAGCUACACAAUGGUGUACUCUCGAGGUGGGUUGAUAUGGUCCUCACCACCCUGACUAAAGCAUGCAUGCAUGAAUGCUAUUUUGUCAGGCACCACUGCGCUCCCUGAGCGGCCGGACGAUACAAUUCCCUUUUCAAGUGGUGAACUCGAAGGCAGGGCCGACAUUCGGCUGGCGGAGCUACACAGUGAGAAUGGACCUAAAAACGUGUUCUCAUGACUGUCCGUGCGGAAUUUAAGCCUGUGUGCGCUAACUUACCAAAAAAUUAUUUUCCUUCCCCCUACUACUCUACUAUUUAUUGGGGAAGUUCGCUGUUUGUGACUGACGCACGAAAAGCUGCAUGGCUAGCCUAGCUCGUAAUGUUCGCUUGCAGGAUCCCACACACGCACUCACAUGCAUGGACGACACAUGUUCUGUGCUGAUACGUGGCCUUGUUGAGCGUGGCCUGUGCGGAUUGAAAGGAGGCAGGGGGGGUGAUGAGGAGAUGGAGACAAUUGGCACAAGAUGGGCAUGAAUGGGCAUGAAUCGGCAUGAACUAGUUCGAGCUCCCCUGCCUACAGUGUAAGGCCCAAUCCCAACUAGAGUGCCGUCCCGCCCUUCCCCUAAGCUUUCCCGGCUUCUCCUUGGAGCCAACAACAGCAGCCGUGAGCCAUGAACCGACCAAGGCUAUAGUUUAGAAUUGAUGCACAGCAUCACAUCUCAGCCCCAGUGUUCGUUACAUUGGCGGGCGGGGAUAGUGACAACAAGUGAGGCCCAUGGCUUAUCUCCCGGUGUAGCAGCUAGCUGGCCGCCGCUGAAAAGGCCUGUUAAGAUGCUGGCGGAGUGCCUUCGCGUGUGUUAGCAUAGACAAUAUGUGUGCCGUACUAUCCCCAGCUACUACACCCGUGCGCACGUACUUGGUCGAAUCUACAGUCAUGAGACACCAUGCAUGGGAGCUAUAUAUACAGGACAUACAUGUCCUUUCAUUCUAUGCCCUACAUGCACAUCUGUUUCUUCAUGCCAAGCAACCUGUGAUAGUGGUCCAGCGCUGUCAAGGACAUCACAUGUAUGUAUGCGCUCCUCCACACACACACACACACACACACGCACCUGGACGGUCCGCACCCACAGACCAUCAGCCCACCGGGCGGCAUCCGUCACCUGCACAAACACGCGUACGAGGUGUACAAGUAUUAAUGUGUACGAGCGAGGCCAUUCAUUGUGCCCGCACGAAGAAGAUGUACACAUAGGAGCAUAAAUAUGGGGUGUAUAAUAUGGGGUGUAUAAUUAUCCCACAUCACCUAUAGCAGCAGCAGCAGCAGCAGCCGCAUCAUCAUCAUCGCCGCCACUACCGGAAGCGGUCGUCCCGGCACGGCAGCAUGGCAGCAGCACUGGCAGCUACAUGACCCCUACGACCACCUGCCGUCCAGCAGUACUUGUACAUACACACAAAUAUACAAGUCCAGACACAGCCAAGAUGUUCACAAGGCUCGGCAUAGUGUUGCUGGAGGAUUCCAGGUUCAAUCCCGACAAAUAACGGGAUUGAAGUCACUCAUAUACUUAUAGGUACCCUAUCAUGCUAGCAUUUGAUGAUGCACCCGGAUAUGAAUGCUUGCAAGUCGGCCGCAGUGGAGUUGACGCCAGCGUUGAUCCGACAGCAAACUUUUUCUGGAAGCUGAUGAAAGGUGCUAGACCCGAUAAAGUCAUCGAUGCCACACUAGUUAGCCUCCAUGGUUGAGAAUUCUCGAAGGACGAGGGUGGCCCAAAACAUCGGGGAAGGUAGGGAAUGCCAGACUAAUGGCCUUGAUGGCUUGACGCUAUACUCCCCUGUUACUUCACACAAUCAAAAUACUAGUAGCAGGUAGACAGGCACAGUAGGAGUUAGGCAUGCGCGUAUCGUGCAUUCUCAUUCUCAUACCUACAGAAACAUCCCAUAUGUAGGGGAACUACUUGGAAAUCACUCACCUGCUCCAGCAGGAUGUACGCCACCUGCCCAGUAAUAAUGAGGUACAUGCACGUACAUAUGUACAGGCAUACAAUCAUAUAUCCGCAUAAGCACAUGUAUGUUGUUACAGGAAGUACGAGGAAAGCAAGUACGUGUUUCCAGGGGGGAAGGACGGAUACGGGGGCACAUCUGCUGCUGCCUGCUGGCCAGCAGCAGCUAGCGAACCUUAACCAGGCUUAUUACUGACUAACAAUACGAUAGCGCGUUCUAUACUCUUAAGCCUGGAUAGCAGCCGGCAUCCCGCCAUGCAAUACCGGUAUUCCUACAUUGAUGUUGCAGUGCUGAUGGUGGCGGGCACAGGCAGCACGUGCCGGUAUGCUCUGGAGGAUGUUAUACAGAUAUGUGUACGCUCGCUAAGUGAAGUAUAGCCACACCUGGAGUAUCUCCUUUUCAUUACGUUUUUUACACAUAGUAGGCACUAGGGUUACCAGCCACUGUACAUGCACAUACACAUGGGCGCACCGUGCAGGCGCAAUAACGAAAUCUGUUUUUCCCCCCACCACCACCACCUUUCUGCCUUGCAGUAGGAGGCCUUCAAAGAUUCUGAAGUCUAGCUAAGACCCUGAUAAGCCCUUCAAGACUCCAGAAGAUUUCAGGACAACACUACUUGCUACUCGCUCUACCUAGCUAGCUAGCUAGGGAGCUAGGGAGCUCCCCCGGGAGUAUUAAACGUAACGAGGACAUCCAUGCACACCUGAUGAGGACAUCCACAUCCACGCCCACCCACCAACAGCCAUGAAUUGCUUGCAUGUAAGUGUAACGACGCAAAUGCCAAUCUGAGCAUCCCGGGUUACGCCUUUGCUGUGUUACAAUGGUAUCGAGACGGGACUGCACGACUUCCGUAACAAACUUCGGGUCGGCGGUUCGAUUCUGGCAACCAGCAAGUCGCAAAUUGGCGAUUUCAUGGUGUAAUGGAUAAACCAGCGCACUGGCGCGAGGUGGGAUGGCUCCUGUGCUCGAAAUAAUGGCCGAGGACGUCCAUUGCUAAGUGGGGGGCAAUGUAACGACGCAAAUGCCAAUCUGAGCAUCCCGGGUUACGCCUUUGCUGUGUUACAGUAAGCAUGUAUGCAUGUCGUGUAACAAGGAUAGGCACCUGUGGAGACCUCUCGCAUUGCAUCUAUCCGCCGUACAGCAGCAGCAGCAGCCGUCCACAGAAACAUAGAGAACUUAUACAUACAAGGAUGCACACACUCGUAGCCAUUUAGCUAGGAACCACCCACUUAGUGGGUAAUUACCCACCCAUUGACCCACCCACUGACCCACCCAUUGACCCACCCACUGACCCACCCACUGACCCACCCACUGACCCACCCACUGACCCACCCAUUGACCCACCCAAUGACCCACCCAAUGACCCACCCAAUGACCCACCCAAUGACCCACCCAAUGACCCACCCACUGACCUGGAGGAACACUGCGAGCUUCAGGACGGAAAGCACGAUCCGGUUUUUCAUGCUCCGGAACAGCUCCCGUUUAUGGACAUUUUGGUUGUAGCCAGUAAUCUGCCAAGCGAGAGAGCACAUGCGUGUACACCCGCAUGGGGAGGGGGUUAAAAAGGAUACGGGUGAGGGGGGGGAGGUGGUGCCGCAGUGGGAGCAAGCAAGCAGACAUACAGACAUAUGGCUCCAGACACAGCGAAUAUAUAUGCUAAGGCGUGGCAUAGUGUGUCGCUGUAAGGUUCCAGGUUCAAUAAGAAUCCUAUGGUCGUAUGUGGAUGAUCGCCGCCGCUAUUGGCCCCGCAGAUUCCACUGGCAGAUGCUAUGGGCGGUGUCGCUAAAGUCGGCGCUCAAUGCUGAGGGGGGAUGCGGGGGAGGAUGAGGGUGCCCCCGAACAUCGGUGAAGGGAAGAAGGGACUGCCAUCAGGCUAGUGGUGGUUACUGGUCGAAGUGGGGGAACAGCAGAUAUAUAGCAGGUGAUACGUACAUCCUGGCACGGGCAGCCGCUUGUAAGUGCCAGACGUGCCCCCCGCAGAGGUAGCAGCAUCUCCACCACGAGCACCCGGUGCAUGAACUGCUUCAACAGCGCGAAGCAGUUCAGAUCAUGCAGCGGCACCCACUGCAGACGACCGGCCGGGUAGUCAGGCCACCGCCUGCAUGUAGGCCAUGGUAACAUACAUACAUACGUACAUACGGCCAUAUGGAGGGAGCGACGGAGGGCACUUAAGUGCGUUUAAAGUCAAGUAUGUAGGCGAGAGGGGAAUAGGGGAGGGAAUGCUUAUUUGCGCAAGUAAGGCAGCAAAUAAACAGGAUGUAUGUGCGUAAUAACUACACAAAUAUUUAGGACAUACAGAAGCAGAAGGUAAAAUUUAUGUUCAAAUUCAUUCGUUUCGUGCAGCACAUACAGCAUAGCAUAGCACGAUGUAAGGAGUGAGGCACAGCAAUGGACAGCAGAUGAUGUCUGCUGCAUGUUGAAGUGUGAUGAGAGCACCCAUAUGUAUGGGUGCUCCUCUACUCUCCCUUCUCUUCUCCCUGCCAACACCCUAUGCACACCACCCAGGACUGGUCCCUCAAAGUGUACCUGCCUGUCUAUAUUUUCUCCUGCCCUCUUCCCCUUUUUCAGCCCUGCCCCUUUUCCUCUCCUCACUCUGACCUUCCCCCCUCCUUCCCGUCCCAAUUCACCCGGGCCAUGCCUGGCUGGUCUCCACUCACGUCUGGUCCUUCACUGGGUUGUAACGCCAUUCCACCAAGAACUCCAGGCGGCAUUGCUGCUCCUGCAGAUCCGCCUGCAGCUGGCCACCACUGCCGACCGCCACACCGUGGCGAAUCUGCAAGCCCCAGAUGUCCCCCACCUCCCACAACUCCUCCUCCUCCACCUCCUGCUGCUGCUGCUCCUCAUCCUCCCAGGCGGCCUCUUGCAGCCAACUCCAGAGCUUGUUGGCGAGGAUGGUGAACGGCGUCAGCUCCUCCACCCGGCAACACAGGGGAAGCACAGACCUUUCCUGGUUGGCGGUAUAGGUCAGGAUAGCAGGCAUGUUGCUAUCACAUGCCCAAAAGGUCCGGACUUCACGGUCGCAGGUUGCCCAGUGCCUGCUGCGGCAGCUGGAAGAAGGGCCCAGGGCUGGUGUUGCUGCACUGCUGCUACCCGGUGGUCGUGGGAGCUGAUUCCGGAGGCCGUCCAUCAUAGCCCGUGUCACAUGAGACACGGAGCCACCAGCACCGCAGCAAAGAUCUAACCGCUGCAGGACACCCUCGGGGGCCCCGCUGUAGGUGCCACCACUGCAGCCACUGCAGCCACUGCAGCCGCCGUCACCACCACCAGCGCUACUACUGGAGCUGCUAUUGCUGCGGCUUGUGCUGGGCCCUCCACCACCAGCCUGUGGCUGUGGCUGUGGCUGUGGCUGUGGAUGCAUUAGCCCCCGGCUGGCAGGGUGUGGUGCAUGUUGCCCCCUUAGCUCCCUUAGCAGCUCCUCCAGGAGGCCGGGGGAGGAGUGAGGUGUGGCGCCGGCGGCCGAGAAGAAGGGCCCGAGCGGCACCCGGGCAGCAGUGUCAUUACAAAGAUACCUGGGGCCACGCAGACUCUGCGGUAGCCGCCUUGGCUUCGCGUUGGAGGCGUUGGGACAGCUGUUGCUGCCCCGUUGCUUCUUGUGGCCGUGUUGGUCUUGAGCAUCGUUACCAACGUCAUGGCGGCGGCGGCGGCUGGGCAGGAUAUCUUCGUAGGCCUGUUCAAGCAUACAAGGUUUAGAAAGCUGUAAGGCUGUAGUGAUACAGCAGUAGUGAUGGGUACAGCAGCAACAGUAACGAAAAAACACAUAAGGUAGUGGUCGUGGUGGUCGUGGUGGUCGUGGUGGUGGCAGUAGUAGUUUUGUGCAGGAUGCAAUAAAAAUGGCGAGACUAAAUUGUGCGCCCUAUUUCAGGCUCUGAUAGUGUGCGGCUUACUUCUGUCACCCCUUAAUUUAUUGCUUGCUUGGUUGCUUGUUUGGGCUUCAAUAUCAGGUGUUAACAGAGUUGACCUACAUUCACGAUUGCCGGUGUAAGCAGAUAUAGGAGGCUGUAUACUAUACCGGAGCACCACUACUGCAGCUUUCCUGCAUGUAUAUAUAAGAAUCCUAAAACCCUCUAACCCUAUACAUAUAUAAAGGAUAGGCACUACUGGUAAGGCACGGACCAUUGCCCCCGGAAGAUCCCGGAAUCGAGACCUGUCAGGAUCGAAAAUCCUUCCGAUGGUGGAGGGAUGUUGAUCCUAGUCGAUGGACGGUGGUGACCUGGAAUAAAGUUGACUCGCGAGCCAACCAGGAAUGUAGUUCAGCCGCCGUCGAUCCGGCAGACUUCGCUGGAUGCUGGUGGUGGGUGCGGAACCUAAGCGAUCCACUGAGAAGUUGACUAGGGUGACUAGAUGAGGGUGCCCCGAAAUACCGGGGAAGGCAGGGUUUCGCCGGGUAGCGGCCACGGGUGAAGAUAUGCCCCCCUGUCCCACACACCAUAUAUGACAAAAGCAAGUAACCGACUCACCAUAAAGGCCUCGUCGUGCGUUUUGUCACACCACAACUGCUUGCAAGGACUACCGAUAGGCGGUCGGCCGUAGACGAUGGAUACCGGUCUGCGGGUACCGGCGGCAAGCAGAACCGCGUACGCAUGGAAAAUAGAAAAAUAGUAAAAUAGUGGCGAGGACAUCAUUAACAACAACAAUAAUGGGAGGAAGAGGAAGAGUAGGUGGCGCUGGGCCCCGCCGGCCAGGGAUGGAGGGGAAGGGUUCUCAGUGUGUGGUAGGCGGGGGCAGGCAGCGUCUGUGAGCCGUGCCUCAAGGCUUUUUCGUGCUCUUUAAGGGGGGCCCGCGCUGCCUUGUCAUUCCCCCCCCCCGGCAAUAGGUGAUUUGCUUUGUUUCCCGUUGGGCCGCGCCCGGGAGCCCGUAGCCCCCGGGAGGAGACAGCUGCGUGGACCGGGUUCUCCCGCGGGUGUGUGAGUGGACCGGUGAGGUGGAGUGGUGGCCGCCCUCGGGAGGUGUGCGUUGCGUGUGCUAGUCGAACAACUGGCCUUCAGGGACCAGCGUGUGCGCGCUAGCUUUGGGUUUGGUUUCUUUGUGCAACCGCGUCUCGGUGUUCGUGGUGUGGUGACUCAGGCCCGUGGUCCUCCGUGUGUGUCUCUUGCCUUGCGGGGUGUGUGGGUGUGUCCUUGGCUAGGGGGGUCAGCCCCUCGGAGGGGCCGUGUCUGGCCGGGGUAGGUCUUCCCUCACAGACCUCGUCAUUUGAGUUUGUGGCAAAGCCCCCUGUUUAGAGCCCCUGCCCCCGGUGGCGUUUUUCCUAUUCGUUUUUUGUUUGGAGCGCGAGCGGGCGAAUAGGCUGGCCAGGUGGAGUGGUGGAAGGAAGCGUGGUUGGGGACCCCUGAGGUGGUGUGGCGCCUCUCGCGCGGCUCUCGCUUAGAAUGUUUUGCUGGUUUGCUGUGUUGCCUAGCCAGGAAAUCCCUGGCAGGGACUGGGCCCGGUCAGCGCCCCCGGUGCCCUCAGGCAGGGCGACAGGGCCACCCACAGUGUAGCACCCCCUCAACAAUAACACUAAGGAAUAGCAACAACAAUAAUAAUAGUGAUGAUAAUAAUAGCUAUCACAUAUUAUAUAUAUACUAUAGUAUAGGGGGUCGCUCGUCGCGGUUACACAUAUGCAUGGAAGUAUCAAGCAUACACAUACAGGCAUGCAUCCAUCGACAUACAUACAUACACACAGACACACAUACACACAGACACACAUACACACAUACAUACAUACCGCCGUGCAUCAAAAGCUAGCUAACAAGGAUACAUGCACAUAUAUCGCGUACUUCCGGCUGUAGCAGUCUACGUGUAUGGUAUACAUGAUGAACACAUAUUGAGCCAUAUUGCUUUCCUCUCACCUCCUGAUUGACGACAUCUUCACCCGGUCCACAUACUCCCCGAAGCGGUUACUGCAGAGCCACACCCUCUUCUUGUCCACAGGGUCUUGCGGGAUAGGAGGAUCAAGAAAUUUGCGCUGAUCCAACUUGUCCUGGUUGGGUCUAGGCAGGGAGCACAUCCAACCAACCAUGCAUACAAAUAAACAUGCAUCGUAAUAAGAUGUUUGGAGUUCUGGUAAACUGUGAACGGUCAAGUACCGAUCGGCAGAUGUCAGGAUCCCGUGAUACACCCAGAAUACAGCACAUACCCUAUGAAGCACGAAAAGAUGAACAAGAUAUACAUGCAUGAACCACGAAUAAGAAUGUGCGCUAUGCAUGCUUGUUUUAAGCGGCAAUGUUUGAAGAAACACAAUUUUCCAAACGAAGUAAUACACUACUGCGUGCAUGUAUUAUCACGGCUACAGGAAAAGCGCACCGGUCGGCAAAUGUCAGGAUCCCUAGAUACAUACACCCAGAACACAACACAUACCUGUCAUUCUCCGUCUUCUUUCUGACCAACCAGACCCUAUCAGAGGUCUCGUUGUGCUGCAAAUCAGCAGUAUAUACAUAUAUGCACAUAAGAGUAAUAAUUCUUGGUGCCAAAAUCAUACCACGGCACGAUCUAUAAAAUAUUCCAUACCAUGUACAUGUAUCGAUACACGAUCGAUUCCUUGAUCGUAUCUAUGUUAUUAUACGGUCCUACCUAUUAAACGAUGACCCUGUCUAUGUGUAAUAACUAUUUCACCGAGGACGGGCGUGUAAACAUACAUGGAUUGAUGCAGGACAGACAUACGGCGGAUGCACGGCGCACAAAUACAUACAUACAAACACGGGUACAUGGCCAUGGACAGAUGCUCACACGCACGUACACGGAUACAUGGACAGGCCGGAUACACAUUUAGGCUGAUGAAUAUGUAGCUGAUGAACAGCAAGUGGCAUGGUGCUACCCUGGACUCAUGCCAGGGUCCUCUGGGCACGGCGGGUCUAUUAACUCUUAUCUGCGAUUUUUUUCCUAUAAGCUUGCAAUAUGUAUGGACAGGGCCGGCCCGCUCCAACCUACCCUGAAGAGCCACUUCCCCUCCACCUCCAUCUCCUUCAGCAUCUUGGCCUUCAGCGCAUCCGUGGCUACCUCCCAGCCCUGCACCCCAAACGUACAUGCACGCAUUUGCACGUGUGUAACGAAACGAAAGCGAUCGAUUGCAAAACCCGGUGUGCAACCCAGCAAGCCAGACGGCCAACCCACCUCAGGGCGAGGCACACGUGUCACCUGAAGGCCAGAUCAGGCAACAUGCAGGGCCGGUGGGGUUUGUGUGAGCAGCGAAGGGGUAGGCAGUGCGGUUAUUAUCCAGCAGUGGCACGCGAUACCAUCUAGCUAGGUGCGAUGAUGAUGAUGAUGAUGCAUGUAUGUGGUAACGAGAACUGUCGUGGCACCCUAUGUGUGCGGUACUGUCGCGCUCAUGUACACACUUCCACCUGAUCGGCUGUUUUCCUAUACAUGCCCCUGCAUGCGCUACUACUACUACUACUACUACUUCGCCUCGUGGCAUAUCAUUUCGCUCUUAUCUUAUCCUUUUUGCAUUUCGCCUAUCGCAUGUUGUCAUGCGUAAAUCUGCUGGGUUACAGCGCUCUCAGCUUGCUGUAGCCGUGACACGCACUUGCCACCACUGGUGGACCCGCGAGGGGUAUCGUGUUGGUAUCAUAGUUUUUGCAGUAAACGGCGAUUAUAUAUCUUGCGAUGAGGUCCUUUUCCCGGGUCGUACAGCACAUUGCUGCACAAUAAAUAGUCUUCGUUGAGACAUUAAACCUCCCUCCUACCUAUUUAAUCACGGAUCGGUAACUCUCACCACCACGACCAUACAAUUAAAUGGCGGUGGUGAUACCACAGGAACACAUACAGAGCUACAGUAAGAUGUGCUGGGGCAUACAUACCGGUACCUCCAGGGAAAACCUACACCCUAAUAGUAGUAGGGUUUUAGGGUUUUAGGGUACCUGGAAAAGGCACUCCCUAUUCGCUUGGGAGCCCUUCGCCAUCUCCACCCAGUAGGUAGCUCCUGGCAUUAGGGAGUUCUGCGCAUAUGAACCGCAUAUGCAUAUGUAGGGGGAUACAGGUGUAUGCAUGUACCCUGAUGGGCCGGGUAGAGUUAUUGCAAGGAUGCAUGCAUGCAGGCUGCUGGAUGGCGGAGUCGCCACCUGCACUGUGGGUUGCCUAAAUGGGUGAAGGCGGCGGUAGGAGGCCUUGUAAUGUUAAAAUAAUGACUUACAAGCCAGUGGUUGUGCCUGCUGCAGCGUGCGCGGGCUCAAUAUAAUAAUGAUGGAGUGAAAAUUGUUGUGGGGCAAAGCAGAUGAGGGAGCUGAUAGCACGUUCUACAUGAUCCGUUUUUUAACCGCAUGCUGGGCAUGCAGGACCUGCUGUACCCACGCACGGCGGGCCUGCUGGGCACGAUUAAUCAUCAGGACUGACCACGGCGUCGAGGAAGAGCGCAUCCCAAACAAUAUGUGACCGUAGACCGUAAAAGAUCGAGACAUCCGUCCUCGCUCAUGUCUUAACGCUCGCUUAACAUGAUUUUGUUUUGGCGGCCCUAACUUGAGCCUCCUGGUCGGCGCAUUAAAUCGAAAAGCCUAACUUGGACACGUAAAAAAAUAUACAAAAAUAGAUGCAUCGUACCAUAAAGUUAAGAUCAUCGUUCAAGUUUCCAGUAUCCUCCGCUUUGGAGGCCUCAGCGCGAAGCCUUGGCGAAUUCCUGGAUUUUCAAAGGUGUAAAUACAACGUCACAGUUUUUUGGCUGGUUUAGGAAAGGCAUCCCACGCACCUUGGCUGCUCCAUGUGAACCUAGUAGUGCUUGGACUCUAAAAUUCAUGCAUUAACAAAAUACGUUUAUCACUAUGAAUAUGUUGCACGUGCAUCGCGAACAUGGAAACAGCAAAGGUGAUAAUGCGAUGUGUGCUGCGCGUCUGGAACCACACCGUACGAGCUCGCUUGUCAGCACACAGAGCAUGAAAAUUGACGUCAUAAGAUGUUUGUUCCUUGCACAUUUAAAUUUUUAAUUGGGCUCGCGGUCCAUCAGCCGCCUGGUUCGUUUCAGCAUCACAAGGUCACUGAGGUUGUGAUAUGACAUAUUAUAAUCUUUUCCUGUCAGGUCUUCAGGAAACGAGGUCUCAAAAAAGGCAGCUAACUGGCUGUCACUUGCAUUCCUUGUUGACGUAGGCAGCGACCGGAUUUUCAUCUACAUGAAUACCAUUGAAGAUAAAGAUGUUGGUGGCGAUGAUAGAUAUGGUUAUUGUGAAUUUUGAUGUAAGGAGCGCCCCGUCAAUUCACGGCUCCUUCCGUCGCCAUCCCUUUGGGACAGGGCUUCUGCAAGGAGUGGACUUCGGGCUUUGGGUAUGAUGUGGCCUUGCUGGCAUCCCCAGGCCAUCCAUGCCAGUGUCGGGCUAUAAGCUCAGCACCGCAGCAGUUCCACGCCACACCAUGCAUGCCCCGCGCCAACCCAUCACUCCCCCUGCGUCUACCUUCUAAGUAGCAGCACUGUAAAUAUGCUUAACUGACCCACUCAGCACAAGGCAAGGCAUGCCCCUUAAGUUACGGCAUAUAUGUGAUAUCUCAACAACGGCGACUUGCUGUGAAGACAGCGGUCCGCUAACUCUGAUUCCCGUAAGGAAAGCGGUGCCCAGGACAGUGAAGGGGAGGGAAAACGGAAACAGAUUCAGGGCCGGGAUCCCUGCGAUCGGCCUACGCCCAAAUGGUGCAUGGACCUCACAGAAGCGGCUUACGGUUGGGAGGAGCGUGUUGCCUUAAGGACAAGCGAGGGCGGGAAACACGUUUAACUGGGCCGGCGCGUGGCUGACAAGGCUUGGGAACUUAUAGCGAGUUGAUAUGCCGGAGGGUUUACUGAAGAUGUUUGGCCAUCCAUGUGAGUUUGUGAGCACGGAGCAAUUAUGGUUGGGAGGCGGUUGGCGGUGGCAGCAGCACCAGAAGCAGCAACAGCAGCACCAACAGAAGCAGCAUUAGAAGCAACAGCGGAGCAAGAACUUUAGUAGGAGUUGUUUUAACGUGCAGGAAAUCUAGCUUCGCGCUGCCUGGCGGCCUGCCAACCAUUCUACGCUAAGUUUGUAGAAUGGAUGGCAGGCGGCCGUGUGUGCAUGCCUGCGUCAUGCUUGUACUUCACGGAUGUUUGGGGGAUGCAGUCCGUGGCCCAUGUCCUGUCCCCGUGUUUUCCCCCUUGGUUCGCCUCUCUCGGCCUUGCCUUGGUGAGAAGUGUUGCCGUCGGGGCGCUGUGGCCACCAGAGGAGAUACCCCAUGUAAGUGUACGGCGUUUUCGGUGUCCGUGUUAUGGGUCAUGAAUCUAAUCCUUUGUAUAUAUUGCGCAAGUCUACUCUAGGUGUCGUACCGUCGUGGCAUAGUUGCACGCCGUGGCACGGCAAUAGACACGUCACACGCUGACGUGUCCGAACACACGCGUCCUCCUUGCUUGCACCUCGUCAUCUGCCACAUGAACCUGGGUCUGCAAGAUGAGGACACACCGCGGUCUUGCUGGGGCUGCUGCUGCUGCUGCUGGCGCUGGAAGUACCGAAGGUAAGCGCCUUCGAGAGCUGCCACUGCUGGCACGUGCGUACGGCGAACAACUUGCAAACAUACGUACGGCAGCGACACGGUGGUGUUGCAAAAGGAAGGUCCCCCGGUGGCAGAGGUGAAGACUAUGGCAGUCCUUGCGGCGAAGGCAGUUCUGGUGCCGGUGGCAGACGAUGAUGUGCUGUGCAUAGAUAAGGUGCUAUCAUUUUUCAUCACCCCGUGGGGGUUGUAUCUGGUGUCGAGCCCCGCGGGGAUCGGCUCACCCUGGGGCCGUUGUCCUGUAUUCCACUGCCCGGGGGAUGUGCUCUGUAGAGGUGAAGACCCAUUGCCGUGGCGGGUCCGGGGUGCUCGUGGCGUCGGACGGAUCUGGUCCACGCGCAACAGCAAGCAAGCGGGUUGAAGAAAUCCGUUUCAGUUGAAAUAACGGUUGGAAGUUCGUUGACCGUGUAAGAUCGAAUGGGAGAGGCAAGGCAGAAAGGGCACAACAACUGAUGCUUGAGUGGAUGCCAUGCGCUGUGUGACUGUGCGAGUUAGUGUGAAAGUGUUAUUCUAGGCGAAGGGGGAAAAGGGAGAGGGCGGCAUGGCCCCGCUGUGCUGGCUUUGCUGCCUAUUACCGCACACCUGUUACUGUUACCGACAUACCUCGACUAAUGCCCUGCGUUUGUAGCUACCAUACUUCUUGCUUAGUAUCCGUGCAGCCAGGUAGUAUCGUCCCUAGGUCAUCCUCCCUGCCACACCUAACCCCAUUUCCAACCCUACCUUGCCCCAGUCCAGCCCAUUGCUCAUCUCCCCUUUUCUCAUUGAUUGCCUUGACACGCGGGGAUGUCGCAUCUCUACUGAUGUAAGCGGCAUCUAUGCAGUGUAACGAAUAGCCACCGUCGGAUAACAUCCGGCAUCAUGCCUGACUGAAUCGGGGCUUGGGAGAACAGUGCUCUAUCUGUGUCAGGGCUUCAGGAUAAGUCAGCUUCAUUUGGCAAGCGCCACGCCCCCCUAUCAGGUGCAUCAUGCAACACUUUCAUGCACACACCCACGACACAGCCAAAAGCUCAACCCUAUGCCGAAGAACCAGCGAGCCCGCAAAGCUAUGAAUGAACCAGGUCGACGGCCAAUUCAGAACACACGACGUCAAGCUCCAAAAUGACGCCCCCCCCACACUGCUUAUUCUCACACCGCCAAAGCGCAAGUCAAGGAAUUAACCGUCACCGGGAAUAGCAGCCAGUCAUGUCCAGAUCACACGGCAAAAUGGACAACCAAGGACGCCUCUCGACGACUUGUCCGCAUUGGUGUGUUUCUCAACACACACCAAUGCGGAAAGGCAACAGGUAAAAGCAAGGGGCAACACACAUGCCUAGGUCAUGUUCGCCUGACGUUUUCACGGAAGCAAAAUUGCUCAGUCCUCCUGGCCCUCCUGGCAUCCAAAACCUUCCAGCACCAGCCUCCCCACGAACACACGAACGGCAGUUACCGCCCUGUCCAUGAAUCCAGACAGCCAUGCACGCACGCAUACACUACUACUUCCGUUGCUGACCCGCAGGCCCUCCGCCUCCACCUCUUCCCGCUGCUACUGCAGCUCCUUUGUUCCGGGAGGCCGAGGGUACCCAGGGAUGCCGGUCGCUGAUGACCUUGCGUUUCCGCGCCUCCGCCUCCAUCUGCUCUGGGGUGAGAUGCCGCUUAGGGGGGACCGGACCAAACUGCUUCACGAACUGGCCCCGGCGGAUGCGUGCUGCGUCAUGGACUCGGGCCUCCUCCUCCUCUUCCAGGAUCAGCGUGCUGCGGUGUGGUAUCGGGCAAGGGAAGGGUAGGAAGGAUGGGUGGUGGAAGCCAUAUUUGCAGAAUGCAAAAAAUCAGUUGUUGGCGUAUGGCGAGGAAGGGUCCGGAUAGUAUAACACACAUGCUCCUGCGCAUAGUAUAUAUGUAGAAAGGAGCCCCUUGCAUCGCAUCAGCAGCACCCCACGUUCUGCUUUCCCCAUUCCGUCUUGAGGUAGGCGGUAUGUGCCCUUUCUGAUGAUGAUGAUGCGAAACAGCAUCAAAGAAGGUUUCGGAUAGGCUGCAGUUGGGACACAAAACUGCACGACAGACAACAGAUCUAUAUUGCACACACACACACACACACACACACACGCGCGCGCGCACACACACAUCCGCCCCAAAUCCAAGAAUGUCUUCCACUCUGCCGAACCACUUUUUUCAAUAGUAUUGGCGGUGUGCCGCCCUCGCCACCUCCUACUUGUGGCUCAGCUCCUUAACACGCAUACACACGCACACGCACACGCACACACACACGGGGCGGCCGAGCAGCACGCCCCGUGUGGGAGCUCAUGUGGGUCAAGGGGGGGAUCGGGCUGUGCGGCACACGGGCGGGGGAGCCGCUGGGAGCAACGCUAAGACCAACCCGGUCUGCGUGAAUAGGCUGAUCCGCAAAAGAAGGUUCGAGGAUUCGAUCCAGGGUUCACGAAAAGGAGAAACCAGACCUGGUCCCCACCCACUCUUCCUCUAGACCUUCGGAGUCCCCCGGAUGCAGGCGGUGCAGCCUCAACUCAAUCGAACUCAACUAGUACCCCACUGACAUCGAUCCCCUCGUCGUCCUCCUCCUCCCCCCUGUUCCCCACCCCUCCCACCUCUCUGCCUAAGAUUCCCCCCUUUCCACCUCCUCCUAACCCUACCCCAACCCCAAGGUUCUCACCUCCCGCCCACUUUCGCCAGCAGCUUCCGCUUGAGCGCCUCCGUUGCCUCGAUGCUGGCCAACUUGUCCCGGGCAGACAGCGGCACCUCCGAUAGAGUGGACACUAGACCGGGCAGCACAACCUCCUGCUCCAGAGUAUUCUUGAAGUCGGCAGGCACAGCGUACAGCUCCGCCUCAAUCUGAGAGCAGACGGAAGUUAUAGUUUUUUGGGUUUCAGUUUGGGGCAGUUAUUACCUGGGUUGCUUCGUGCGGAGAUGGGGAUUGGUGUUGGAAUGUGACCGACACUCAUACACCAGAGAGUGGUAGCAGCAGCAAUAGGGGACCCGGGAGGAAAGGUCCGGCGUUUUGCUGGUCUUAACAAUUGAAUUAUAAAAGAGGCGAAAAGGCUUCUCUGCGGCCGGAGGAAAGCAAGGGCAUCCCUCCACAAGCCGCAAUUGGUCCCUUCUUAGGAUUCCCCCUUCCGAAUGCCCCAUGGCUUUUCCACCACCGGAUCACGUCCUCCCCUCGCCCGCAUAUCCACGUCCCGCCCCGGUCCCGUCCCGGUCUGCUUGUCUUUCCUAGCAUUGAAAUGCACCUGAAAACACACACAUAUACAUACAUAGAUAGAUACAUACGCAUGUAUGCACAUCAAUACACAGACACGCACAUCAAUACCCCGAUCUCCCCUCAUCCGCGCCCUUGAUCACCUUUCUCUUCUUUGCUUCCGGGUCCAGCUCCUCAUCUUCGGACACUUGCGCGGCCGUCUUCCCCAGUCGCACCGCCAACUGCUCCUCUAUGUACUUUUGCCUGUUGUUGCGAAGCAACAUAGAAGAUAGCAGAUGGCGGCGAUAACAGCUAAGGCAGUGAGGAGAGCCAAAAGACUGCAGUUACACGGGUGAAAAGCAGUACCAUUGCUGUGGGUACCAUUGCUAGGCAGGACAGGGCAAAAUCGCAUCACAUCACAUCACGUCAGAUCACAUCACGUUCUCAGCUGAUGUGCGCAGGUCAAUCAAGUUGCAUCAGCAUCAUCCGGCACUCACAUGGCCUGUACGGCACAUCACAAGUGAUGCUGCUUCCCUGUGCUAGGGGGACGUGUCGUGACGGGGUCGGAAAUGGGGUGGUAGAGCGCGCGUGCGCGUGUGCGUGCGCGUGAGAAUGUGUCGGUUGCAUAGGACAGACACUAUCUUGGGGAUGAAGGAUGGUUGUCGGGAUUGCUACUACUGUGCGAAUCUGUGUGUACGCGUGGAUGUACAUGUGUAUAUGCUAAGGAUAGGGCUAUGUAGGUAGUUUAGGGGACGGAGAGAUGGAUGGGGUGUGCAAAGAGCAAAGGGGAGUGGGGGCAGGGGAAUCACCAGGCCUGAGGGGACCCCCGCUCUGUGCGUGGGAGAGGGGUAAGACGAAAACCUGGCGCAUGAAGCAAACACCAGUGUAAACGGAUAGAGCGUGGGAGAGAAGAGGGAAAUGCUGGAAAAGAUCUUGGGGCCUCUUGACGAGUAAACAACUCUCUCGUUCCUCAACCCAGGCACAGUCUUGCGUUACGCUCUCUAAAAUAUGUAUAAAAUACAUAACACGAAUGCAUAAAUCAGUGUAUGGCUGGGCCAGGUUCCGUCGGGAUGUGCGUGUGCUGAGGGCGAGUGCGCCACACGCCCGCGUCACUCGGGCACAUCGCCUCCUUUAAGCCACCCACAUGUGCGCAUCCUCGUCCUGCUGCGUCGCUAUGGACUUGGCCUUGACGUAGGUAUCCAUGACGGGCGCCGUGCCCCCGGCAUCGGAAGGUCCUUCAUCUGCUGCGGACUGGGGCUCUGUUGAGCCAGCACGGACCCCACCCCCGCCACCGCCGCUGUUGGGCCCUAUCCCUGGCCCCGCCAGCCCCAUGGCCAAUGCCCCAGCACUGGCACCUGCUGCCCUCUUCCGAAGCUGCUGCAUGAGCCGGGUCUCGGUCAUCUUGUCCCUGAGCCGGGCAGGGCAGGGCAGGAGCAGGGAAGCGCGUGGCAGGACAAAGGAGGGUAGGGCGGGAUACCAUGAGGAGGGAGGGAAAUCGGUUUGGGUCCUGUAUAUGCAGGAGGAAGGGGAUUCUGACCGGCUGGCCGCGGCUGGCCGGGCGCUGCACGGGAAACAGUGCACAGGCGGUAAGUGCAGCUAACAGUGGGACUGAGAUAGUGGUGACGGACAGGGCAAAAGGCGUUGCGGCAACAUCGAUCGGCCAGGUAGAGGGUCCUUAUUGUGCUGUGCUGCCCGGGCGGCCUGGUCAAGAUGGCGGGAAAGCGGGAAAGUGUGAGUAAGGGAGGGCAGUAGAGGACCUGGAAGGAUGUUGGGGCGCUUGGGGACCUGGCGCAUAGAGGCUACAUGGUUCACCCGCACGCCAACAAUUCGAGGAGUUGGAGGUUAUGUUUCCCUCUAAGCCCCUGGUAGCCAGCCAAUGGGACUCGCCAACCUCGGGAGGAGACCAGGUCAUGGAGGCUGUUCCGGCAGGAACUCGCCAAUGAGCGUCAGCCGUUGGGAUCCCUUUUCCCCCAGGAUUGCGUGUGCUACUCGUAGCGACAUCUACCACAGCAUGUGUACAUAGCGCAUGGAUUUCGAUUUGAAGAGGACCCAUUUGAGUAAAGCACGACUGCGGUUGAGUCAAUUCCGGGACUCUUACCUCUGGUAUUCCACCUCGCCCUCGCCAUCUGGGCCGCUCUCGGGCUCCUCUGACAGAGCCUUUUUUCGUAAGUUGCGCUGCUUGGACAUCUCCGGUGCCGCGCUUAUGCUGCGUGCCGGAAUCGACGUCUGCACCUAAAAGCGUCGUGCGAAGAUAAUUUAUAACAUGGACCAAAGCUUUGUUAAGUAUUCAUAAUUAAAAUGGCACGGACCAAUUAGGGUAGGCAGGAGAAAGCUUAAAAGUUAAGGUAUCAAAUGUUUUCUCCUGGUUAACUUGGCAGCGACAUAAUUUGGACAGAGAUUCUGGUGUCUGAAUUGGAAUUAUUCAAACCUUGCAUCGCGGUCAGUCCCCGCAUAUUGCAUAGAGCGAAUAAUCACUAUAAGGCCCUCAACGAAAACGGACUGACACAAACGUGUGUGUGUGUGUGUUACCGCUGCACGACAUGUGCCCUAUUUCAACUUUCGAGGUUAUCGGUCUGACCGUCCUGCUUAUGCCCCUGAUCCCCCCUUUUCCCAUUGCACAGCGCGGGCUCGGACAAGCCUAAGUGCGGUGCAUUACCGGUGCCAUUUCCGUGGCGGGUUUCGUCGGCGAAUGGAGGGCGAUGACUUUAGCGUCCCCCAGACACGUGUACGGUAGGUUUGGGAUCGCAGGGGUAUCAAAAUGUCCAUCCCGUCUGUCGUACCGUCGUGCGAAGCACGUGGUGUUUUGUGCCAUGCUGUGUCGGGCAUUCUCGUGCUAUCAUGUUUAGCUGGCGGCUGGCAGCAGAAGCGGCAGAAGCGGCAGGGACAGCCAUCGUAUCAAAGGCUUUCGGAAAGGACUCUAGCGUGCAGCAAAUCCAGGUCACAACUGCCGGCCGCCUGCCAAGCAAGAUAUCGUAAUAUGUAUUCCUGUAUACCUGGGCCAUGUUUGCAUGGCAUUGGUGUUUUCGAUUCGCAAUCCGUGACCAACAUCCUGUCCCCUUGUUUCCCCUUUUUGGCGCUCCUCACUCGGCCUUGGCUUGGUCAGGAUACUGCAGCCAUGCAUCAGAGGAAGUACCCCAUGGUCAGUGUACGGCAUUACGGUUUCAGCCUCGUGGGUCGUUGAUGUACCGCUUGUUGUACUGUGCACGACUGCCGUACUGUGUCGUACCGUCGGGGUAGAAUUGCGCACUUGGUAUGCCGUGAUCCCGUAAUUGAUGCAUCACACGCUGACUUGCCCACUCAUACGCCCUCCCCGCUUGUUUCUCACUGCCUGUCCGCAUGAACCUGGGCCUGCAUUCAACAUGAGGAGACAUCGUGGUCCUGCUGCUGCUGCUGCUGCUACUGCCGGAGAUGAGUACCUUCAAGAGCUGUUAGAGGUUGACAUGACAAUUCAGCGAACAGGAGGCGGUGCGCUGGUCUGGCAGCGCCCACAAUGGGCGAUAUGCCGCAUGAACGAUACCUGGAGCUGCGCUGCACCAUCCUUCAGACAUGCCUCAAAGGGCCCCUCCGCAAGGCUACUCGCAUCACUCCGCUCUCCUGAGCUAGUCCAAGACUUCAGCCACACUUGACACCCAUACAGCAGUAUUGGUCGUACCUGCGUAUCAAAACAGCUCAUCCUGACAUCUGGAGCGAACAAGUUUAACUUAUCCAUUAUCGUACUCAGCACGAACAUAGCUGCCCUAGCUGUGUCGUACAACUCCUGGCAGUAGGCACGAAACGGUCGUUCCGGUCCAUACACUAAACCCAGAUUUCGCGCACCCUCCUUAGCCGGUACGGCCUCACCAACUAGCAUCAGCUCAUUACCCGAUGCUUGAACAGCACUCCUUGUGUCGCUGUCGCUCGUAGAGACGAGGCGUUCAUAUUUCAACACAUUUGUCCGCAUCCCCAAAUCGUCACAUGUCCACGAUUUUGAGCAGCUCCGCCAUGCGCUCUGGUGUCGUUGGCAGAAGACUAACGUCAUCAGCAUAGAAGAGCAUAGAGGAGGAUGGACACUCGCUCAUUUCCAACCUUCACUGCAUCCUUCGGCCGUGCCCUGGUGUUAAUACCGUCAUGCAUAUCAAUGACAUCCGCAAGAGUUUCAAGGAAAAGUCCAAACAACUCAGUUGACAGCGGACUGCCUUGUUUCGCACCCUGUUUUGACUCAAAUUCGCCCCCAGUCUUGUCAUUCGUCUUGAUGGCCAAAUUUAAGUUUAUAAGGUUUCGGGGAUGUAAUUGUCCGGGUCCCCAGCGCUCGCGGUUUGGUUUAACGAACGAUUAACUAGCCUGACUCCGAACAUCACUCGUUUGUUUGGAGUAAAAUUGAACCUCGCUAAACGAAAUAAACUGGCUGCAGCAAGUUUCACCCGCUACCGGGGGGCUUUCUGUGUCGGUAAUCUCUUAUGCAGUCUAGCCUUGGCAUUUCUCUUGUUCAGAUUGGCUGGAGGAUUCGGGCACAUGCAGAGAGUAAGCUUGUCGUAACUUUAGUUGUGAUCAGAGACACUUAUCGCCGAGCGCUCCCCGCGUGGACCUUCUGGCCUUUUCCCACGUUGACUUGCGGCCAACUACUUGCGUCGAGCUGCUGCUGCUGUGACGUGCAAGCACGAUCGGGUGAAUAUCCCGUCGAGGACCCUGGCGCCUAAUUUUUGUGUCUCGCUCCCCGCUCCCCGCUCGUGAUCGUCACUGUUGCCCUUUCCUUGGCUGAGUGUCAGCAUGGCCGCCGGUUGGGGAUGCUAUAAAGACCUUGUUACAUUAAUAAUCGUGUUUCAGUUGUAUCCUUAUGUAGUUAUGAGAUUAAAACGGGGCGGCUACCAGUGAAGCCGCAGCGGCAGCGCCCUGGCUCUCACGCGUUCGUGUUCCAGUGUCAACUCAGUGUAUUUGUCAGCAUCUUGGGCACCCUAAUCCAGCAUGGCUUUCGGAGCUCUACAUUAUGCCGAUUAUAAAAAUACUCUUCCUAUGUGUUUGUUUUUGAGAAAGUGCUGAGGUAUGGAAAGAGGUAUGGUCUUAGUCAUUAUCGCCACGCUCGCAAAGUUACUAAGUUGAUGCGGAGCAAUGCUAUAAGACUAAUGUCCCAAGGGCAAUGCUGUAAAUUUUCACAAGUUACGCCAUCACAUGCCCACGAGCGAUGACGCCGUGAGCCCGUCGGUUGGCGACGCCACGGUUCUUCGUUUAGCCGUUCCUGGGCCGCAACGUCUGUACCCUGAGAGUCAGUGGCACCAUAGAUUGUUUUUUAAACCACUACUGUGCUGUCCGGCGACUGAAGUUGGGUUUCUGGGCCUGCUACGCACAGCGUGCCGUACCGCAGCCGACUGGAAGUUAGCUUGCAUGCCGUCCACAGGCCAGUUGAACAACAAAUGAUUCAUAAACAGAAUAAAAAGCUUUGUGCGGCGGUAACCCUUAUGACUGUACUUCAUUUACAAUUCGCUGCGAUUUUCUUUUUCAGUAUCGGCAACAUGGCCAGAGGCCGGAUGCCUCCUGUUAUUGUAGUAGCUUUAAUAGCUUCCUAUGUUAGCGUCUCGGCUGCUCAGCUAAUUGCGCCUUACUUCACUUCGUUUGAAACCGGGCAGGAUGGCUGGGGCGUUCUCGUCCGCAACUGGGCAUGUCCUUGCCCUGAGGCCACGCUCAAUUUCUCUAGUCCUACUGCCAAGCUCUCUGGUGCUGCUGGCCUUCAGGUUUCCAUCACGGUAUGUUGGUCGUCACAGGGCCUGACAAAGCUUCGUUGCUUCAACUUGCCAAAAUGGCAAUACUGAACAUGUAGCACUCCAAUACCUUCGUCAUGUAAUUAAAUAAACUAGGCUUUCCUAUGUAGUUCAUGUCCGUGGAGAAGAGGGGACGUUUGUGUAGCUGGUUUUCAGUUUCUGCUCGCCAUUACUGUUGUGCUUCCUUGUUGUGCUCCAGCUUCCAACGCAAGCGAUAUAUUCCAGGAAUAUAAUCCAAUUAUAAGAAUAACUCGCUGUCGGGCAUUCAGGUACCGUCCGACCAAGGAUGGCAUGUCCAAGCCAGGUCGCCGCAGUUCAACAUGACGGCCGGAAAUGUAUACACCGCUUGCGUCUGGCUGCGGGCCGCUGCAACCCUGGGCGGUGCAGGAACCGUAUCCUUCAGCCUCUUGACGACGAACACCUACGAGACGCUCGGCUGGGCGGGGACAAACGUGAGCGCAACGUGCUGACCUGACGCGCUGUUCCCGAGCCAACAAUGAUUUCAAUUGAUAUAAUGAAAACGCACGUACCCGCUGUUUGCUUCAUAAUUCAGGUUGGCACAAAUUGGACCCAGCUAUGCAUGAGGAACAUCGUCCUGAAUGUCAGUGCAGUGACGUACUAUACGCUGGACUUCGGACUCAACACGGGCUCCGUGUUUGUCGACGACAUGAAUGUAACCACCGGGUAAGGAACCGGUUUCGACGGCCUCGAUCGGAUUUGAUCUGGGUUGGAUCGGAAUGGAUCCACCUAGAUCUGGGAGGACGGGGCAUCCGUAGAGAGUCUCGGCCUUAGCGAUGCAAACAAGGCUUGCGGCGGGUGCAUGGCUGGGCAAGGGGACGAGGACGACGGGGACACAGGACGGGUCGGGUGCAGCGGGCCGAUAACUAGAUCGGGAUCAGUGUACAGAUUGCUAGACCGCAGGUUUUGGUCCACGGGGACUGCCAGUCCCUGACACGGGGACUGUGGCAGGGCCUCUGAGGACGACCCACAUCGGGCGGGUAGAUGUCCCGUGAAACCAUUUUCCGGUUUGCUUGCAUUACAUCAUGUGCGUUGUAGAUCGUCCAGAAUCGUCCUGAAGCAGCCCGCCGUCGGUAUUAAGAUAUUGCUGCUACGGGGCUCACGGCAGCCAAGCUGGGAUACGGAUCAUUACUGGAAAAAACGUUGACCUUUGCACCCUUGCACCUUGACACCUGAUCAACAGGGCGAUGCCGUCACCGUCACCGCCUCCGUCGCCAUCCCCGAUUGCCGCUCCCCCCGGCGACUCCCUGGUUCUGAUCAACACCUCGUUCGAGGCGGGUCAGCAGUCCUGGUCGACACUAGUUCGCAACUGGGCCUGUCCCUGCCCCCAGGCCACGUUUGACUUUGCAAGCUCAGCGGCCGCGUACACGGGAAGCAAGGGCGUCGAAGUCAAUGUGCAGGUGGGUAACAUCCACAUGCUUGGACUGUGUAGCAUGCGGUGUACGGCAGUGUGCCUUGUACGUACCUUAAUGUAUAAUGUAGUGACUCAGGCAUGUUUUCCCACAUUAGGACCUUUAGGACCCUGUUUUGGACGUAUUGCUGCGAUGGCGAUGAUGCGGUUGUAAUAGGGACAUGAUACCCAGCCAUUCGAUGACAUGUGUCGGCGGUUUUCGUGGAAAUUGGGCUUUUACUGCGCAUGUAUGCAUGCCCGUACGUGCGUUUUAAUAAACACAAAGAGGAAGUACAAAAAUGCAAUGCCGUACGUGUUUCUACGUGUGUAUUUGUGUGUGUACCCGUACGACGCUGCGCCUGUUGCAGGUGCCUUCCGACCAGGGCUGGCAUGUUCAGCUUCAGAGUCCGCGCUUCAACGUGUCCAGCGGUCAGCGCUACACGGUCUGUGUGUGGCUACGGGCCGCAACGGUCCCCCUGAUGACGGGUAGCGGCAAGAUGUCCAUGAGCCUGCUGAAGACGGAAACAUACGACGGGCUUGGAUGGGCGCAAGCAACGGUGAGAGAAUUCAAUUCCGUUACAGUCAGGAAACUAUCCAUGCAAGCUGCUACCCUGUUCGUGUGCGGUUGUGUGGACGGUGUAAUGGAUCUAAUGAGGAAAGGGAAGGAAAGGGGAAAAGAAAGGAACGGAGGGACGCGAGUAGGUUCGUGCAGCUGCCUGCUGCACAUGCAAGUGCAGACAUGUUUUGUUGACAAAUAGGAAUUAUUUCUGCUCCACUGGCACUUUAUUUCUAUUUUGGCUUAGGUGGUAUCAUAAAUUUUUCUCCCUGGUUGCUGUACAUUCUCCGAUGCGUUCGUUCCAGACACGCGCAUGCGGUCCAGGUAUAUUUGAGUGUUGCAGAUUGGGUGGCUUCUGGGCCAUACGCCGGGUAUAGAAGCUGUCCACCUACCAGGCUUGUACGUGUGUAUGUAUGCUUCCUUUUGCUGAUUUGGGUUGCACGUGGAUUCGCUGCACGUGAACUAUUUGGUGGGUCGCAGGUUACCACGAGCUGGGCCCAGGUGUGCCUAGCGGACGUGCUGAUUUCCAUCAAUGCGACUGUGUACGUGACGAUUGAUCUGGGCACCAACACGGGCAUCUAUCACCUGGAUGACUUCACCGCCAUUAACGGGUGCGUGACGAGCGCAAGUAGAGCACACGGUUGGGAUGCAGGAACGGGUAAGACGGGUAAGGCUUUGGGGUCUCGUGCAGAUACCAAUGCAGGUGUGAACAGAAGUACGGCAUUAGGUACAGGUAUAGGCAAGGGCAAUCAGACCAGAUGUGGAUCCAAAAAGAAAGUAUGUCUCAUGGCUUUGUGCUGGGAUGGGCGGCGAUGUCGAGCGAUGAACGCUGGUUUGUUUGUUAUGGUUGCAGGAGGAGCAGCGGCGGCAUUAGCAUUCCUGCCACUAACGGGCCCCUGACGGCGCCGUACUCGACGUCGUACGAGUCUGGCCAAGCUAACUGGAUUGGCAGCAAGAAGAAUACGUCUACGGCCUCGUUUAACUUCUCGAGCUCGGCGGCAAUGCGUACGGGAAGCAACGGUGUCGAGAUUGCCGUACAGGUGAGGUGGUGAAUAUUAUUGCGGUGCAACAUGAAAGGAUGUGGCGAUUCGGCGGCCGUUUGCUUUGUGACUCUAAGCAUUUAGAUUUGGUUUUUCAUAUUUCUCAUUCGUAAUACAGGUACCGUCAGUGGAGCGGUGGGACAUUCAGCUACAAUCUCCCCGGUUCGCCAUCAACACUAGCUUCAUGUACACGGGCUGCGUCUGGCUACGUACCCCUGGGGGACUGAGUGCUGGCAACCACGUGCCGUUUGUGAUGCUGGAGGAAGGCACGUAUGCCAUGUUUUCAUCGGGACAAGCACUGGUGCGUAAGGUUACCGGGAUAACAGGAAAUGUGGACGGCCUGGGCGCGGGCGAAUAGGUGGAUGGGCGGACCGGUGGAAUUGUGCAUGUGGGGUAUGUGGUUGGGCUUGGAUGCUGGCACCGGCGGUGAUCGGACGAUGGCUUGACAGGGUGCGGUGUUGCCACCCGGUGAUCUGGUGCCAGCACACACACCCCGGCGAUGACCCCAUGUGGGACUUUAUCGGCCUUUGUGGGCCUUGCGGGUAGUCCAUUUCAAGUGGGGGGUUGAGAGGGAUUUGCGUGUGAGGAGGAGGAGGGGGGGGAGGAGGAGGAGGUGGUGGCAGGUGCGCCAAAGCCCAGCUCACUGAGCCUGGCUCACACACCGUCUGCCAGCAGCAUAUCACACAGUCGCUACAACCCACCCCAACCCGGCAGACGCACCCCAAUACCCCCUUGAACCCCGACCCAACGACCCGGCAUAUAAAACCCGAAUCCCGAACCCCCCUUCCAGUAUGCAGGUGACUCCGGUUUGGAGCCAGGUGUGUGUGAUGGACUUCCGCCCCAGUCGCAACACGAGCGCGUUCUUCACUUUGGAUUUGGGUCGCUUCGUUGGAACUGUGUACGUGGACGACUUCACCUUCACGGCCAGGUCGGUUGACAGUUGGCCUCGGUUGGUUGGUUGAUUGGUCUGUUUAUUCUGGUUUUGUUGGUUGGUUGUUGUCUCGCUCUUCCUUCGCUUUCCUCUUUGCCCUGCUUCCCUAUCGUACAUGUUAAACGCUAGCUAACCUACAUCUUUACCAGGUAGCUCAAGACCUGGCAUCACCCUCACAAUUUGCCCUUUGCGAAUUUCCUUUAGUAAGAUCAUCUUCCUGUCGUUUCGUGCAUCUACCCCCGUCUCCGCUGCCUGUUACCUCAUAACCCGACUUUCCACCUUGUCUAAGUGGGGCCCUAUAACCCGAACCCUCCCCCGUCCCCACCUGCCAUGCCCCCUGUCUAAAGGUCGAACUAUAACCCGGAAGAGGUGACUUAUGUGAGCUCAGCGGCCAUUGCCGACCGGAUCAACGCACACCGCAAGGGCAAUCUCACGUUUAACUUUGUAAACGGUACCACCGGCCAGCCCAUAACUCAGGUACGUGGGUCGGUCUGUGGGGAGCUGGGUGGUGUUGGUAAUGAUAGUUUAUGGGUGGGGGGAAGUGUAUGCGUGCAUGAAUGCAUGAAUGCAUGCGUGCAUGAAUGCGUGAAUGCAUGAAUGCAUGUAUGCACGCUCAACGUAUACCUGUGCACUUCACUUGACUCUCAUUGGCUCAAUGGGUGCGUAUGUGGCUGCUGACUCUGGGCGCUAUGUACCCCAUGAGACCUCCUCACUCCAUGUAUGUGCACACUAGCUAACAGAAUCGUAACAUCCCGUAUCACACACGUUACCAACCCCAUUUUUAACCCGUAUUAUUCCCGUACAAUUUACUUCAAAGCAGCCUGUGACUCGAUUGGAAGUUCGCCUGGCUCGCCACGACUUCCCAUUUGGAACGGCGAUGGAGUGGGAGAGUGUCCCUACGGAGAAGCGGAGCUGGUAUCUAGAGAGGGCCAAGUACCACUUCAACGCCCUCGUCCCGGAGUGGUCGUUCAAGUGGCCGGUGAGGAAGUGCUGAGGAGGGGCGUUGGGGGGCGGUGGCGGGGUUGGAGGGAGUGAAGGGGAGCCUGAGUGGGCAUUUGAUGUCAGCCAAAUGUCCAUUACGCGCGAUACGCGCAAUACCCACGUGUAACAAAGUAGCUAACUAACUAAGCAACAGGUUGGUUAUUGUUGUGGUCGCCUGAUGGUCUCCUUUCACCAGCUCCUUCACCAACAUUAUUUCCCCAUCUUCCCGGGCCAUGCCUUGCCUGUGCGAUACUCCAAACUGCUGACCUCACUCACCCUGCCUCUUCCCGCUUGGUUUUCCCGCUCCCUUUCGCACCCUGGGGACACGCGCAUGAAACACACACACACACGCGCGCGCUCAUGCAUCUUCUGACAGUCUGUGGAGCCCUCUAAGAACAACACGGCCUAUCGGUACGGCAAACUGAUGUCCGACCACGUGCAGUUUGCGGCUGACAAUGACUUCGUGAUGGCACGGGGUCACACUUUGGAGGUGCGCGAUGACGGAUGGCCGGGAGGGGAACUGGCCGGGGGUCGUGUGUGUAUGUAUGUCGUGUCGAGGCGUAUGUAUGUGCGUGUGUCGCGACGGGGUUCGCCUUUGGGAUUGUAAUUUGCGCCAAUGUAUGUCAGGCCAUUGUGUUCCCUUGAGUUUUGGUUAUCUCCCUUUCCAUAUCCCUUUCUCCAUUCCCCCCUUUCUCCCCACCCCUAACCCCCUCAGUGGCUCAUUCCGAGCCCGAGCUUUGGCGACCACUGGUCUCGUCUAGAUGGGUGUGAUGCCUACCGCACCUAUUUGGAGACACGCAUCAGGCGGGAGGUCACGAACUUCAAGUAAGUCGUGUAGAAGUGUAGUAGUGGCGACGUGGAAUGCGAGUCAGCGCGGAAUGCGCGUCGGUGUCCGGUUUGUGUAGACGGCUGCCGCUGCUGAAAUGGCUCAGCAACAGAUGAUGAAACGACGAGGCUUUUGUGUUUCUCCUCCAGUCAUCCUUCGGUGGUUCAUGCGGAUGAUGCGGUAUGUAUGUCUUCUCACACCCGCCCUCUCUGUCCUCGUCCGAAGUACCCCGGCUCCCAGUUCCCACCAGCGGUCGAGCGUCUUGCCGUGCCGUCGCGAAACGUUUGAGCCUUAACCCGUUUGUACCUUCUGUUCGUGCGUAUGUUUACUUGUUUGCUUGUUGCUGAACUUGCAGGGGCAAGUUCAACUCGUACGACGUCUUCAAUGAGAUUAGUAAGUGCCACCAUGAUGCGCGCGUGCGUGCGUGUGUGUUUUACAGCUUGACGGAGCGUGUAUUGCUUGUAUUUAUGUUGUUACAGGGUGGUAUAGCUUCACCAGCGACCCCCUGCUUGUAUGUAUGGCUGAUGCAUCCAAUUGCAUGUACGCAUGCAUACUUGCAAUUACACUGCACUUCACCGCACUGUACUGCAACUGUACUGCAGCCCCUUGGCACGCUGUGAUGGGUGGACGCAUGAGACGGGUGUUCUUCCAAACACGCGUUAGGUUCGGCCCUCACCCCGGUCAUCACCGUCUCUAUCUGUUUUGUUAUCCGUUUGUCUGUCCUUAUGUCUGUCUAUCCACAUCCAUCGGGCCACGUUUCACGACCGCAGUUCACGACCGCGACUUUGUGGAGAACUGCCCGGGCAUGUGGCCGGCCAUUUUGUACGACGGUUUCCGUUGGGCCCAUGAGGCUGAUCCGACUGCUCGGUUGUGUUUGAACGACUAUGGACUCAUUACUGGGGAUGACUGGCAGGUGGGUGUGACCUGUGCCGUGAAUGAUGUAAUUUUUUCUGUGUGGGAGUAGGCCCCUAAAGCGGUGAGAUGGUGGAUGUUGUUGGUCGGGGGGUUGAGGUCUGCGGCAUGGAUUCUUCUUCAUGUUCGUGUGCUGUGUAAUUACGCGGCACCUAGAGUGCGGGAUCAACCUGGGCCUGUGCGCCAACUACCUGAUGUGCAGAUGUGCAGAUGUGUGUGUGUGUGUGUGUGUGUGUGUGUUUCACUUGAUGUCUCUGACGCCCUAGAAUCCCGCUCGUGUGUCGAUGUCGUUGCGCUGACGUUUGGUGUCCACCAUGUACAGUCACCCCCAAAACCUCUCCUGCGUACACACAUACAUACGUACAUACAUGCAGGCGAUGAUCACGUACGUGUCCGGCAUGUUGCAACAAGGUGUCCCCAUCAACUGCAUCGGAGUCCAGGUGCGUGUGAGCACGUGUGGGAUGUGCACCAUGGGUGAGUGCCACCUAGGGCUUUAGGUUUUAAGUUUUAGGUUUUAGGUUUUAGGUUUUAGGUUCCCGAGGUGAUCUGAAAGGGUCAAGGGCGCAGACCGCUCAACUCGCACACAAGUGUGAGGGAAUGGAAUCCUCUGCCCACAUCAUCAUCUCGGCUGACGUGCACGGUAUUCGUAAUACAGCGUUUUGCUCCUCACCCACCUGCAAAACCUUAUGUGCCGUACAGCCUGGCCUGGCCGCCUAGUCCGGGUCCCGACUUGAGACUGUACAAGCAACUAGUAAUUCGGACAUCAGCGGAUUCAUCACACAGUGCCCAUGUCCAAAGUAGUCAUCAGUUAAUCCAUCAUUUGCAUCUUUUGCCGCGUGUAGCUACCACGUACUUGCGUAAGUCCGUAUCCCACCAAGCCCACAUGGCACAUCCUAGCCCCAACUUGCCAUAUGCGACCAUGCAAGCAAUUUUGUCCCUUCCUCCCCGUCCUAGAAAUCCGCCCAUCGUUUGGGGGACCCCGCCGCUUAUUACCUGGCUUCGUUCGCGGCUUCUGCGGCGCUCCCGCGUUGCCUUCUGUCCAUUCAUCCGUCGCCUGCCGCACCCCAUCACCCACGUCUUGUCCCUUCGUACCCUUCGUACCCUUCGUACCCUUCGUACCCUACGUACCCUACGUACCCUUCGUACCCUACGUACCCUACGUACCCUUCGUACCCUUCGUACCCUACGUACCCUACGUACCCUUCGUACCCUACGUACCCUACGUACCCUACGUACCCUACGUACCCUUCGUACCCUUCGUACCCUUCGUACCCUUCGUACCCUUCGUACCCUUCGUACCCUUCGUACCCUACGUACCCUACGUACCCUGCCUCUGUCUAAUUGGACCUCGCAGGCCUACGUCCCCUUAACCAACCGGCCGAGCACCGCUUACAUGCGUACGAGGCUGGAGGCACUUGCGGGCCUGGGUCUCGACAUUGUCAUUACGGAGUUUAAUUUUUGGACUUCUUGGGCCUCGAGCGGCAACCCUGUGUGGGAGGGCACAGAUGCGGAGCAUGCGGCGUUGUACGAGGAAUACGUGCCGUUCUGGUUCUCGGUGCCGUACAUCAAGGGCAUUAUGAUGUGGAACUUUUGGGACGGUUCGAACUGGAUUACCAACGGCGGCAUUUAUCGCCUAGAUGGCACCCCCAAGGCCUCUGCGCUUGCCGUUGGUGAGUUAUAUGUUUCAGUUUCUUUUUCUGUUUUUUCCAGAACUGAAUUGAAAUUGCAUGCAGUUGCUGAAGCAAGCUUUUGACUGCAUUGUUUCGCAUCGUCAGGAUUCGCAUGUCCAAUUGUGCACAUCUCGAUAUCGAUUCUGACCCCAUGCCGCCCCAUCCAACCGAAUAAAACCAAAUAAAUGUUAACUAACACAGGUGACAUGUGGAACAACCGCUGGCGUACGAACGUGGCCCUCUCCAACGUGGUCUUACCCAACGGCCAAGCAACCAUCAAUGGCUUUUACGGCAAGUACAACUACACGCUUGAGCUUGAUGGCCGAGUGUUUUCCGGAGUGAUGGACUUCCCCAAGAACGCGGGCGCCCAAACGGUCACCAUUUCAUUGGCGUAAAAAGCAGGAACUGAACAGACCAUUUAAUGUACAUGCAGUGAUAUGCGAGUCAUGAUGAAUGGAAUAAUCGGAUUGUGGUUUUGGGGGGGGGGGGCCCACGUAUAUACAAUUCUUUUCCCGACAAAGCUCGGCAUUCCUUUCUUUUCUUUCUUUCCAAUAAAUAUCAGCCAUGCCAUUCCGGUCCCGAUGGCAUGCAAAUAGAACAAUAAUGUCGUCAACGGAUCCUACACGUACAUAUAUUCGGGAGUACAGGAGCCGUUGAAUGCUUGCAUUCAGUAUUUACAGCAGUAUGAGUAGAUACCCUAUUUGAUAGGUAUGCAUAGGGGUGUGUGUGUGCGUGUGCGUGUGCGUGUGCGUGUGCGUGUGCGUGUGCGUGUGCGUGUGCGUGCGUGUGUGUGUGUGUGUGUGUGUGUGUAUGUACAUACACAUAACGUGUGUGAGCGACAUUGCGUGGCAAUCUUAUUUAUGGUCCUCCCCAGGCUUGGAAAUCUUUGUUAUUAUCCCUAUUUUGUGUCCCUUCUUGCUUGUUACAGCCAAAAGCUAUGUGUCUAUGCGUGCGUCCGCUGCAUAUCACCAAUAAACUCCUAACAGGGUUAGUAUGUACGGCGAGCAGCUUUAUGCGAUGCAAUUUGUCGGUUUCGGCUGCCGAUUAUUUCCAUGCCAACCAUUAUUCGUAUUCUAUCGUACUAGCUAGUGACAUUGCUCAAUUUAGUUUGCCGGUCGCUGGCCUUGUGUUCUUUCAAUAAAUUGUUUGGAGCGGUUGCGGUUUGCUGUACAUAUGUGGACAAGAUUAUUCUAUCGUUUCCUUUCCUUCCUCCUGCUGCGGCUGCGUGCGGGUACCUCCACGCGUAUUCGUUGUUAUCAUGCAUGUAACGAAGUGUACGAAUGGUGCUGCUGCUGUCUUUCGUACUGUAUGUGGGCGUUACAACGGGCAUAACGUCCCGCCUCGUCAUCGUACAUACGUCAAUAAGGUAGAGAUUCGUAACCGGUGAUUGCCGUAUCUCACCGUUAGAUAUUAGUUGUUUGCAGAGGCUGACGUGAUCUAACUAUGGAAAACCCUACCAGCCACCCACUACCUCAACUCCCAGCUAUCCCGUAUUCUCGGCUGGGUAUGGAGGCCAUAUAUGUACCGUUCUGCGGGUUACCUGCGCCCGAUUGGUAAGUGCUAGAUAGACCUGUUUUGUCACAUCCCAAGAUGGAAGAGUACCUCUAGCUGGGUGGCAAGCUGGGUGGCUGGGUUGAGGUAUGUAACCCCCCUAUUCCUAUCCUGGCGUCGAGCAGUUUUGGAAUCGGUGGUUACUCUCGCUUUUGGGCUGGUCACACCCACACUACGGCGAUGUAAGCGGAAAAGUCUCAGGGUUUGCCACCUGAACCCUUUUUAUCAUGAUUACAGAAUAUUCUGAGAUGUGCACCAGCUCUUGCACAUACAGGCUUUGCAUGGCCACCAGAUAGAACUGGUGAUGAUGAAUCGCCACCAGCCGCACGCAGCCAGCUGGGUACAUAAAAGCACAACGGAAAGGCACGAACGACAGAACGAACUGCAAGAUGACGGACGACAAUAUAAAGGAAGAUUCGGCAUGUUGAUUAUUGGCAAACCACUGCUCUGCAAGGGUGCGAAGCUGCAAGCCAGGGGGCCCCUGAUUUUGAACCAAUAGGAGGGAUGGCAAGUACGGUUGGAUUGAGUUGGUAGGGUGGUCGCCAGGAUUGGGAUAGAUCAACCGGGGAUUGAGAUAGACUGACGGGGGGAUUGAGAUUGACUGUGGAGGGAUUGAGAUUGAGACCGAGGUGGAUUGAGAUCGGGUUACCGUUGGAUUGAGAGUGUAGUACCGUUGGAUUGAGAUAGACGCUACCGUUGGAUUGAGAUUGCCUUGGGCCUGGAUUGGGAUUGAUACCCCGGAGGAUAGGGAUAGAAAGGCUGUAAGGCUGUACAUAUGCUUGUGUUACCCGCUGCACUCCUUUACCACGUCGGUGGUGCCGUUAUCUAACCAAAAACGGUAUCCGUGACAUCUGUGACGCAACCUUUCCUUGACUGUUACACGUCGCACAGCUUUCGCAACGUUCGCUUAACAUGCUUGGCACCAAGCGCUCUGUCCCACCGUAUGCAUGCUCGCGUAUGCAUGCUCGGAAACCAUGCAGAAGAAGAACAACAGCCUGCCGUCCGCUUGACAUCCCGUCAUAUGUACAUAACACUAACUUGCACACCCAUAAAAUGUCCAAUGGGACUGCUUCCACAGGCUGCCGCAAAUAAUCAUAACAAAACACCUAUCUUCCUGUACAUGCUCCUGUACACGCACGCUCUGAAACUAGCCCAUGAGUGUCGUACACACCACGGGGAUCCUCUGUACCGACACAAGUGCGCUCUUCUAUUGGGUANNNNNNNNNNNNNNNNNNNNNNNNNNNNNNNNNNNNNNNNNNNNNNNNNNNNNNNNNNNNNNNNNNNNNNNNNNNNNNNNNNNNNNNNNNNNNNNNNNNNNNNNNNNNNNNNNNNNNNNNNNNNNNNNNNNNNNNNNNNNNNNNNNNNNNNNNNNNNNNNNNNNNNNNNNNNGGAAGCCUUUCCGCGUUAAAGACCGGGUCGUGAAAGGCUGGUUCGUCACAAGCGCUGACGCGGGCACACGGAGAGGUUUCGCCAUGAGGCCAGCUUUGUCUAGUGCAGCAUUGAAGACUGCCUCCGGGCUCCCUUCGGCUGUGGAACUGGUUAUCCAUCGAGUCCGACAACAGCCGAGAGCACACGAUACACGUGCUACAGGCGGAAUAUGUACCAAUAUUGAUAGGUGCGAGCAGCAGCAUGUUGUCAAAGGGUGAUGCCGUCUGCAAGCUAAGCAAGGCACGGGCCUGUCGAUGGUGAGGGCCAUUGGCUCACACGUACGAGUCGGCACAAACAGCCUUAAAAGCCAAACGGUGUAGUAUCUUAGGUGUCAUAGUUCGCGAUGAUUAUUGUACGCUUGCGAUUGGUAAGUGCUACGCAGUCUACUUGAAUUCCUUAAGGGAGGGAUCAAACAUGGUCUUAGUAUGGUUCACAUAAAAACCACAUGGUCGUAUGAAUGGAUUGAAUGUGGCAACAGCAAUCUAGGAAUAUUGUUACUGUCUGCUUUUCGCAAAGGCCGCCUUAGUUUGGUAUCGGGGUGCCGUACGUUUAAUUUACAAGGAGCUGCAUGCAAGGAACUGCUUUGCGGGUUCUCCUCUGAUAGACUCUCUACGUACCCCAACUCAAUCUCAAUCCCUCCACAGUCAAUCUCAAUCCCCCCGUCAGUCUAUCUCAAUCCCCGGUUGAUCUAUCCCAAUCCUGGCGACCACCCUACCAACUCAAUCCAACCGUACUUGCCAUCCCUCCUUAUAGUCUCGGGACUGCAUCUUCAUCGUGGCCGUUAGCCCUUGACACAGCGGUAACAGGCGCGACAACAUCGGCCAUGCCACUCUCGUCCUCACUAUCACUCUGUGCGACAGUGCUGGCUGUUCCCACCUCCUGGAUGCACGACACCACGAGCUCAGCAGUCAUGCGCCGUCCCUCCUCGUUAUGAUACCUUAAGACACGUUCCCAGGCCAGCCUUGCCACGCCUGGUUCGCAUCGUGUCAAUGGCCGGACCAGCCGUUCAUACUGUGGCACAGGCAUGGAAGGUGGCAAAGACCGGAUGAAACGAGCAGCCGCCACCCAUGCCCUCGCUUGUCGGUACCCAAACCCCAGCGACUUCCUCUCAAGAAUAUACGCGCGGAAUGACUUGUACCCUUCCGCCUCAAACAGAUGCUGCUCGGCGAUAUCCAGCAGCGCACAGCUGGCUUCCACAAAAAACCCACCAGCGGCCAUGGUGACACGUGCCUCAGCUUCCCCGAGGGUCCGUGCACGCGCAACAGCGUACGGUGCUCUGCACAUAGCCAACAUAUAGUCGUGUAAUGGCACACAACGUCAUUCAUGAAUCGGAGCAAAUGCAAAGAAGUAAUGAAAUGGCUAAUGAAUUGAAAGCAGUCAGUCCUCACACAACUAGACAGUGACCUCGUAGGCGUACUGCGCAUGUGGCUCUUUAUCCGUUCCCCUGCAGCCGAACUUAUAGCACGUCAUCCCGCCAACCUUAUUAAUAUGGACUUUAGCGAUGGCCCUGUAACAAUGGCAGCACGUGGUCAGUAGGUGGUCUUCCAAGCAAACCGGACAUUGGUUCCAGUGCCAAAGCUUGUCCGCACCCUUGCAGACCUCACCGGACCCCAUUCGCGUGUACACAAAGGUGUCCUCGCUGGGUGAGGCCACACUUGAUCCUGGUCCCCGUGGCAGGUCUUCAUACCUCCCGGGAGACAUGCCGUGCUCCUCCGGCUCAGCCUCUACACCCGCAUCGUUGCCAUCACCCUCCCAGGGGUCGUCAAUGUCGAUGCCGGCUGCACCCGACGAGCCCAUAGCGCCAUAUGCAGAGGCUCCAGAACCCAGUCGCUGCCGUUGUUCGUCCUGUUGGUGGUAGGCAGGGAAAGUGUCGUCCAGCAACUGCUCCUGUGGUGUUGACUGCCGCCACGGCAGCGGCGUUGGCUUGUGCUGUGGCUGCUGUAUGGGAUACCGCCACUGCUGCUGAAGCUGUCCCUCCAUGCUGUCUCCACCACGUUGCUGUGCCUGCUGGUGUCGCUGGAGCCCCCGGUACUGCGGCCGUGGUCGCUGCUGUUGCUGCUGCAGCAGCCCCGUAUGCUUCCGUCCAGCACCCAUUUGGUCCGGCAGCGGCGCCUCAUAGUCGCCACCAGCCGGUCCGUACACCCCACUACCACCGUGAGCUGAAGCUGCACCCCUCUGCAACCCGGCGACACCGGCACCCCUGGGCAGGCACACACCGCGGUUCAUGCCCGGCGGCAGGCCGUGGGUCCGCAAAUGUGGCAGCGGAGGCAGUGGAGGGGUCGUGCGGUCAGGAUGAACAUGGGCGGCUGUGGCAGUGGGAGCGCGCUGAUACACAUCCGGCGCGUCUGGUUGCAUGGCGGGGGCGCCAGCAACAGGCACUCGCUCCGCCUUCUUGACGAGAAAAGGAUCGAGUCGCACAAACCCAAAUUGGACUUGAGGCUGCUUGUUAAAGGUCUCGGGCCGCUGCCGUGCUCGCAAGGUUAUCAUGGCGAGGUUAGCCUUGUGGGUGUCGGUCUUCAGGUGGUUUCGUAAAUUGGCGGUUGCUGACGACACCGAAGCUAUCGGCCUAUAGCCACCUGCAGUCGACGCGAACCUGGCAUCAGCCACAUCGGCCGGGACGUCAGGCCCCCGUGCUCGCUUCUUGUCUCGUCCUUUGCCACUACCACCACUUGAUGUACCAGCGGCGGCAGGCCCCACCUCCGCCAGUUCCAUCGACCGUGCUCGCCUCUUGCCCAGCAUUUUAUCACUACCGCCAACAGCCACGCCAGCCCCCGCCCCCGCACUCGCAUCGGCCUCCGCUGAGUACCAACCACUCGCCGCACUUGACAGCUUGCGGGGAAAAGGGUUGGGUGGUGGCACGGGUGGCAGUACGCCUAGGUUACAGGCCUCGCACCAGAUGAGCCCCGGUACCGCCUGGUCGCUGGACCCGCCUGCCUCUGCUGCAUACACGAUGGAUCCAUCCUUGUUGGCAUUGACGGAGAUGACACUGAAUACACGCUGGUCCAGCGGCGGUGGCUCGUCAGCAUUGACAGGGUACUUGUGCACCAGCGCCAAGUUCACGCAAUUCUCCCCGCCGUUCAUCGUUUGGUCAAGGCCCUCCUGAGGGUCGAGGAAAAGAAACUCACUACAGUCAGAAGAUACAGCGAAAGGCAGCAAGCAUGACCAAGUAACUGUGUGCCGAACAAGGAAUCUCUUGCCCCCCAAAAGCAUGCGCUCCGUUGUGGAAGUACUGCUGAGCUCACACGAGUGUACUCACCGCGAUCCGCCUCGCCAUGUCCUCGCUCGACCCGCGGCGAGCAGUCGAGGGUACAGGAGCUGUCGGACCAGCAGGCGCGGCCCAUUCCGCAAGGGCCAGCUUAACUGCGUCGUUGCACUUAACUUUUCCAAGGGCAACGAGGGCCGCUUGUCCAGCUGGGCAGCUUAUCCCUCCUUCAAAAUGCUCCUUAUGGUGCUUUCCUGUGGCAUGGAUAAUCAACCCUUUCAGUGUUAUCGAUGUGCGUCCGUUUCGGAGAUCCGGUCAUUCAUGGCCUGCCUCGAUUGUUUGAACGCGAUGUAAUAAGCGGUCUGAAACAUAUAUCAAAAUGUGAAUCACUAAGUUGCACAAUCUCCCGGAACAACUGGACACGACAACCGCGACCCUGCGCAACAACCUACUUCCGACACUCCGAGCGAUGUCCGCUGCGGACUGAAGCCCAUGCUCCAUGAGAGAAUCUAUGAAAGCCUUGUCCCUCCCCGAAGGCUCCAGUUCCAUGCCUCCACCGCUCCGCGGCCGGCAUAGAUGCACAGCCAGCGGCCAAUCGAACUGCUGCUCCACGAGCGAUUCUACCUACGGGUACAGAAAGGACAUACGUUAAGGUUACUUCCUCAACUCGAAGCAAGGUAAACACUUCCAUUCCUCGGUAGCCAUUUUGUCAUUGUGAGCCAGUGGCUCACAAGUGCUGUCAGUCGCGCCAACCUACCUGCUCUGACCAGGAUGAAACCAUAGCUUUUCCUCGUGAAUGUGACGUGACACCCUCGUCGUCGCCGGUGUCCAAGGACGGUUCGGAAAGUCCGGAAGGGUCAGACAUCCUCAGAACACGAGAGUCAGUUUCAUUAGACAAACAAAAGUUAUGUAACCCGUUUCAGUUGGGGUACGUAGAGAGUCUAUCAGAGGAGAACCCGCAAAGCAGUUCCUUGCAUGCAGCUCCUUGUAAAUUAAACGUACGGCACCCCGAUACCAAACUAAGGCGGCCUUUGCGAAAAGCAGACAGUAACAAUAUUCCUAGAUUGCUGUUGCCACAUUCAAUCCAUUCAUACGACCAUGUGGUUUUUAUGUGAACCAUACUAAGACCAUGUUUGAUCCCGUGCCUUGCUUAGCUUGCAGACGGCAUCACCCUUUGACAACAUGCUGCUGCUCGCACCUAUCAAUAUAACCAAUCCCAAUGCGUGAGCUACGCCAAAACGUGGCGACAUCCCGCCAGGACAAGAUCAAAUCUACAAGUUUAUGGGUCAGGGGUCAGCGCCGGCGUCGUAAUUCGCUCCAAGUGAAGCUCUGCCCGCUGCAAGCGCGGCACCGGCACAAAUAACUUUGCUCAGACGCGAUGCCCAAAGCAUAGCCCGGGCGCCGUUGACUCUAUUUACUAAUUAGUGCGCAAGCACCAGCCCUGGAAAAGUGCUGCAGCUGCGGUAUGGUGAUUUCCAGGGUAGGGGAAAUGGGUCGCCGUUAGCUCACUGGCUCUGAUGUCAUGUGCUAGUGAGCAUCCUCGCGCUUAGGGUUUCCGGGCGUCGGUCCUGCUUCGGGUGAACCCUCUUCGGUCAAGGAGUGAGCGACUCACGUGGUAGAAUAGUGUGGCUGGAGUUGUAUUUUCUCAUCAUUUUUCACUUUUAGGUCCAUUCGAGCAAGCCCUGAGCAAACUCCGUUAUUCGAACCCGCAUGGUGCAGCAUGGUAAAGCCGUUCAGCAGAGCCCGAUGCAUCAUCCGAGGGUGUCAUAUGUUCGAAACAUUUCUUCAUGCGGCCGGCAAGCUGACAGUUCCUGGCGAGCCGGGUCUUCGAGUUUGCCGGCCGUGGGGCGGUCCAACCCCCACAUGACGCUUUUCACAACCACCACUGACGCAAGAGCAAAACCAUCAUCCUUGUUUCCUUGCUAUCCUUGUCAGGCCCUAUAAAACCUGAAAACUGGUUUACCAUGCUUCGUGACAGUAGUUACACUUAAGCUUGGCCCUUCGAGCUGUGACGCACCUGCCAGCGCGUUCCAUCGCCUGGCCACGCAGGACGGACGAGCGGGUAUUGUGAGAGGGUGCACAUUUAAAUGGUGUAAUCUUAUCUAAUGUCUUAAGACAUUUCUACGUUUUGAGUUAGGUCUUUAUUAAAGCGCGCCAUCUGUGGUUGCAACCACUCUUUCGAGCCUAUAAUUGCGGAAACAUAUUGCCGGAAAUCCUCAGCAUCAUCGCAUAGGCGCGUUUUUUACAGUAAAGGCUUCUCUUUAAAUCCCAAGCAUUUCUGGCCCAUCGGAGAUUUACGGAGCGCUCAAAAGCUAUGACGGGUUCACAUGAGCCUCCGGAGUUAGGGCAGCGCAGGGUCAUUGACUUACGAAGCGACACGGUAACAAAGCCCACACCUAAGAUGCUUCAGGCAAUGAUGAACGCAGAAGUGGGCGACGAUGUGUGGGGCGAUGACCCAACCGUCAACGAGCUGCAGGUUCGACGGCCUCUUUUUCCUUCAUUACCCAAACAUUCCAAAACAACUUUACUCACUUCCAGGUCCUCAGAAUCAAAGCAGCAGGGAAGCGCCCGGCUUGUCUGUCGUUUGUCUAGGACCCAGCGGUUUUUUUGUGCGCACGCAUGGCCUUCACGCUGCGCAUCCUGCCUUCUCUCCUUUCUCCUGGGACUCUUCUCCAAUCCUCCCACCGCUCCUUGGGAACCUCUUCCCUUGACCGGCCUUUCCCUCUGUUGACGUGCUGCGUUGCGUAUCACAUAUGCCUUGCGCACUUCGCCCCCUCCCCUCCCACCUGCAUAUAAUCCUUUGUUUCUUGCAUAUAAUUAUUUCCCCCCGCGUCGUACCUCCCUUUCCCCCUCACAAACGUUUCUUCCCGCAGGACUUCGCAGCUCAGAUGUUUGGCAAGGAAGCCGGCCUGUUUUGCCCCUCCGGUACUAUGACUAACCAAAUCGCAAUUAAGGUAUGGGCCGAGCGAAAACCGUGGAGUAGCGUGCGAAGGUAUGCAGGUAGGUGCAUAGAUAUGUAGGUAUGUAAUAGGUAUGUAUGUAUGUAUGUAGGUACGUCUUGAGGAAGGACAUUUUCACUCAGGCGUGAUGCUGUUCUCGUUGCGUGCUACUGCUGAGGCACUGCCCCCACUACUGCUGCUACCGCUCCCGCUGCUGCCGACCAGGUUCACACGCAUCCGGGGGACGAGCUGUUGUGUGCGGAUAACGCCCAUAUCUACUUGUACGAGGGGGGGGGCAUAGCUUUCAACUCUGGUAGGUUCGGGGGGGGGAGGGGGGGGGUGCAGCCGGGGGUGAGAGCCCGGUGUGUGUGUGUGUGUUUGGUGACUGCGGCAGUGGCAAUGCCGGUGUGCCGAAAUGGAAUAAACUCGGUGCUCGCAUCCCGGCGUGGCAUCUGCCCCAGGACUUGUCCAUAUUCUCCCACCCACCCACCCGCCCACCCGCCCACUAGGGUGGUUUCGCCACGUGUGAAUCCAAAAUUAUAGAGAAUCCGGGGUGGGGUGGGGUGGGGUGGGGGGAAAGAGAGCCCUAGUGUGCAAAACCCCGGGCCGUGGCCACACUACCGCUCGCCAGCUCACCCCUCACCCGCAAUCGGGGGAUGGUGAAACUUCCGUACACAUAGGUGGUUGCUGGCAAGUUCCGGAGUACGACUUCACAAGACAUACCUCCGACCCGCUUUUUUUGUUGACCGCCUCACUAAUUUAAUAAUUUCCAACCUCCCCCCCACACCCGCCUCCGCAUACCCCACCCUUGUUUACCAACAACCCACGAAAGGUGUCCAGCCCAAGCUGUUGCCUAGCAAUCGAGGCCGCAUCUCUGCGGAGCAAAUUGUGCAGGCGAUAAACAUGGUGGGUUGACUGUUGGUUGACGGAAGGAAGGAAACAGGCUGAGGUUUGGUUGCGCAUGACUAGCUCAGCGUGGAUGUGUGUGUGCGUGUGUGUGGGGGGGGGGGAGAAGAGAAAUGUGUUUCCCUGGGCUGAAGUGCGGCCGCUGCCGCCGCCAGUAACAUAUAUUGGAUUUUGGUUGCUUCCAAUCCGCCGCCGCAGAUUACGUGUCAUGCCGUACAGUGUAACGCGUCGUCGUACAUCGUCUGCAGCAACUCCCGUCAUCACGCCACUCUGCGCACAUUUGCACUUCUAUAGAUAGUUGUCGGCGCUGUUGAAUGUCGUGCAACCUGUUAACGGUUACGGUUGCAUCUGUAAUGUAAUGUUACAGAGUGGGAUGCUUCUGGGCCGCUUUAUCACAUUGUCAGUUCUAGAUCAUUUAUCACCUUAUAGCACCAUCCACCACUACCACACUGUACUUCGCCAUACGAACUGUAAGUCCAAGGCGGCGGAUCCAGCCUUCAGGGACCCCUCCUCAUCCAUUCACCCGAACACCCGAAGAGACGGAGGGUUUGGCAAUCGCCACCAAUCCAGCGUGCGAAUCUGGUCCAUCAACUGUGACCUCAACUCCACAUCUCAGCAGCUAGCCAUAAUCUCGCGCUCCCGACUAAUUCGGGGGUCUCCCCAGGAAUCGAACCCAGGACCUUAAACCGCUAAUUGCAGUAGUGUCAACCCAGACCAGACCAGAGGUUGCAUCUGUUAUCGUUCGCAGCCAUGAUACCGCAACUGCUUUCACCGUUAACCACCUUAACCACCAACCAAUUACUGCCUACCCUGCCUGCCUCUCUCCCCUCCCCCCCCAAAGGAGGAUUCGCACUUCCCCACCACCCGGCUGGUGUGCCUGGAGAACACGUCUAACAAGGGCGGCGGGGCGUACUACAGCUUAGAUGAGUUGAGGGUACGGCAGUACGGCAAUUGCAGCACUUGGUUCAUCUCUUGAAAUAGUGUCGGAUGGCAGUCUCGGGCUCCCUUCCAAUCCUUGUUUUAUAUUUAGGACGAUUUCGCGGACAUACAGAAAUACAUACCUAGGUUUUCGGUGGGAGUGCGGGAGCAGCAGUAGCAGCAGCCGCUGCUCAUCUGAAAGUCAGUGGCUGCCUGUUGUGGAUUGAUAGCGUUAUCAUUCCACUUUCAUUCACCUGGGUAGUCCACGUGCGCUUUCAAAUCAUUCCUUUUAAGACUCUUAAAAUAUCAUCAUCUAUUACACACAUUUUAAACAUACCUGAUAGAUACGGUGCUUUUGGUUCCGUCUGUCUGUCUGUCUGUCUGUCCGUCCGUUUCCCUCGUGUGAAUCACCUGACGGAGUUCGGUUCAUCCGUACGAUGCCGUACAGGCAAUUUCGAAGGUGUGCAGUACACACGGGCUGCGCUUUCACCUUGACGGCGCGCGGAUCUUCAACGCGGCUGUAGAGGCGGGGUGAGUACCGAAUUGAGGUGGGCCCUUAGGGGAGUUGUAACUUAUCGGGGGGGGGUCUGGGGGGGGCGUAGCCCCCCCCAGCGCCCCACACUUAAGGAAUACAUUACGGCGACGCUAGCAACUUUGUUACUUAGGUCGGAAUAAAUUGAGACCCCCCCUAAAUGAAAAAAAAAUCACUGGGGCCCUAGCAUGUGCGGAACCUUGCCACCGCAUUUGGUGCCCGAAAGCUGCCGUGGAGAUGUGGCCCUGGCAAUGAGGGUCAAGGAGGAGGGAGAGGAACGGCGUUUCCUAAAAUCCCACCUUCUGUAGCAAUUACCGCCUACGUCCUAGUUGUUGCGUCGUACUGUCACAUGCCGUACAUAUGACGUUGUACGACCAUACAUAUGCGCACAUGGAAUCUACGUAUUUGCCAACUAUACAAGCGGAACCUAAUCCCCUUGCCGCCUCCGGUGCCCUGCCCUGCCUCGCCCUGUGCGCCCGGGCCCGUGGCACAAUUGUUCUUCCACAUUUUCCGACUGUCGUACUGCUGUCGUACUGUGCAGAAUGUGCUCCGUACAAACCUUUUGCUCUGGAUGCUGUGCUCGCAGGUACGGCCCUGCCGACGUUGGUCCUCUGUUCGACUCCAUAUCCGUUUGCUUGUCGAAGGGCCUCGGCUGCCCGGUCGGGUCGCUGCUGUUGGGGAGUAGGGACUUCAUUCGUCGCGCCCACCGGUAGGCAGUGAGGGGUGACGGGGAGGGGUGACGGGGAGGGGUGACGGGGAGGGGUGACGGGGAGGGGUGACGAGGAGGGGUGACGGGGAGGGGUGACGGGGAAUGGGGCACGCGGAUCUGCAGAUACUUGUGGUACGUACGGCACCCGCGAGUGAUUCGUACGGUCGUAUUACGUCCGGUCUGACAUGAAUGCAUCGGUGAGACAGACAGAAGAGGGAAGAGAGGAAUAAAUGAUGAAAGUAAAUUGGCGGCGAUGAACUGGGUGGUGUAUGGGUACGGAAAAGGCCGAGCCCUUGGUGUGUGCUGUGGAUUGAUUUAGUGCUCUGAGGCCGUUCUGGGGGGAAAUGGUGGUGGUGGUGGUGGCGAUGCUGUGAGGUGGUGUUUGUGGGUGCUGGAGCGGGCAGUAGGAUGAAGGGGUGCGGGUGUGUGACACAGCUUCAUGUCGAGGGUUUGUGACGUAAUAGUGACAGGCAGGUGCACUCCCAUGUCCUCUCCCCCCUCCCCCCUCCCCCCUCCCCCCCAGGGUUCGCAAGGUGCUGGGCGGCGGUAUGCGGCAGGCGGGCUUCCUGGCGGCUGCGGGCUUGUACGCGCUCAAGAACAAUAUUGACAGGUAGGUGGGCGUUGGUCGUUUUUCGGGUGGCAGUUGACAACGACUGAGGAAACUGGCAAGGCGGUAACGUUGCGCGUUGACCUGAUGUUUCUCCUUGGGCUCCCGCUAUAUGUUUAUAAAAGCUCAUACGAAUACACGUGUUUUACAUGUGUUUCAUGUGCAUACACACGGCCCCCUCACUAACCCGGUCUUCGCGGACCAGUAGUUACCGUGCGAAUACACACGUGCCGUACACGCACACAUAGACGUACUAUUUUUACACCUCCAUUUCACAUUUAAAUCGUUAAUGUCGUACUCCUCUCGCAGGCUGCGUGAUGACCACGCUCGUGCACGGCGGCUGGGCGCCACGUUGGACGGACUGCCGUACGUGUCGUAUUUGGCACCGGUUGACACCAACAUCGUCAUCUUCCACGUCGCGGCGGGUUGGGACGCGCGGGUAUGUAUGUAUGUGUGUGUGUGUCGGCUGCCCCGGGGUGCGCGUCCCCAGGGGGGGGGCGCGCCGGGCCUCGUGUGCGCGAUAUGCGGUGCUUGGAAAUCCUUAGGAUUGUUGUUUGGUUGGGUCUUCUGUUGGGUCUUCACCCCUACCUCACCUCUACCUCACCACCCCACCCCACCCCACCCCACCCCACCCCCCUUUCAGGCCCUCGUGGAGUGGUUCCAGGCUCGAGGUGUGUUGCUGAUCACCAUGGGGCGGGCGGUGCUGCGACUGGUGACCCACCUGGGGGUGGACGACGAGGACGUGGACCGCGUGUGUGAGCUGCUCAAGGAGGCGGCGAGGGGGGGGAGGGGGGGAGCGGAGGCGGCGGAGGCUAGUACGGCGGCGGGGGCGGUGAAGGUGAAUGUGGAGGAGGCGGGGGAGGGGGUGGGGGAGGGGAUGGGGGAGGGCAAAGGUGGGGUGGCGGAGUUGAAUGGUGUUGGUGGUGACGGGGCGUGUGUGGGCGGUAUCGACCCUGCGGAGGGGGAGGAGUAGGAGGAGCGGGGGAGGACUGGAGCGACCACGACGGGGCCCGAGGGGAGGCCGCAAUGGUGUUGAUGGUUGUGGUGGUCGUGUGGUAGACAGGCCGCCCAGGAAGAUGUCGGUUACGGUUAUCAGUUAGCUGUUGCUGGUGUUCGUUUGCACCCCAUUUGCAAGCUCCCCAUUUGUUAUGUUUCUGCUCUGCUUGGAUAUUAUGUAGAAUAUUCGACGUGUGUAUAUGUAUGUACGUACGUAUGUAUGUAUGUAUGUAUCUUCCGAUUUUUGCCCCCGGUGUGAAAAAGUCGAGGCGGAGGAGGGGGAGAGAGAGAGACUGUGUGGAGUGUGUCUUUCACUUCGCAAUCCAUUUGGUGGUGCUGUUGGGCUUUGUUGUUGGUUAUUGCUGUUGGCGCAUUCUGUUAUCGUGGCAGUUGUAUCGGUUGUUGCUGCUGUACCGGCCAUAUGUAUGUCUGGCUGUAUGUACGACCCUUCUGUGUGUACGUAUGUAUGUAUGUGUGAACAGGUGAUCAUGAGGUGUCAGCCCCAGCUGCCAGAUGUCACCACACGCAACAGGGGAAUCCUGGUGUAUUACUAAUACCGUGCAGUGCCAAAGGAGGUUUUGUACAUUAUGCCGUACACAUACUCCACCUUUGCUGCUUAUGACAUGAAACUAUACCUUUUUCGAGCUGGGCUAAUCUGCGCCCGGGGAUUUGGGGGUUGAGGAGGGUGAGGGGGGGGCUAGAGGUGACACACGCAAACCCUCUUCUCCCGCCGGGCCCCACCCCCCAACCUUUUGGUCAGUUCUACGUCUGGUACACUCUUGCCCUGGCAGCAGCUUCACUCGUUUGUGGUUCGUCUUUCCCGACCCUAACGGGGGGCGGGGAAGGGGGGUGGAGGUCUGCCUGGUGUCGCGGUCGUGGUCGCCGGGUGGACGGCAUCAGAGGAGAAAGGUGAGAGGAGCGUCUGAAAGGAAAUGCUUUUGAAACACACAUACAUACAUACAUACGCACACAACCCAAACACGCUCGGCAAGCUGUACCUUUUUUGAUAUUCGUAUUAUUAUCACGGUCAUUAUUUGCUGCUUCAGGUUGCGUAGCCGCCGCGAGAAGAUACCUAGUUGGACGUUGAGGGGAGGGGAGGGUGAAGACAUCGGCGACAGAUUCGGUGUUAAUCUACUGCUGCUGCUGCUGCUGCUGCAAGAGCUGUUGGAACUUGCUAUUAUUAUUAUUAUUAUUAUUAUUAUUAUUAUUAUUAUUAUUAUUAUUAUUAUUGCUGCUGCUACUGCUGUUGUUGCUGCGGCUACUGUUGAGAUUGUUGUCGUUGAAUCACGGGGGUAAUGGUCGGCCCGGUGGGUGGUUAUGGCGGUGGCAACCACCUUCGCCGCGUUUGGCCCUCUCAGCAUGUCGUACACACACUGUACUGCUAUGCGACCGUCGUACGGAAUCUACGCAGAGAGUCUUUAUGUCGUUGGUCUCCCUCACCUUCCUGCACACACACAUGCUCCCUCCACCCUCGCACGCAAAAUAACACGUACGUAUAUACACAGCAACCUCCAAUGCCGUACAUCCUUACCACACUUCUCCCCCUCUCGCCAUCUGUCACCACUCCAGCAAGCAGCGCCAGAUAUUUUCACCAACGAACAUAACCAACUUGUUGACACCCUCCAGUCCUCCGGUGUAGUACAGAUGCUUACUCAUUAUGUACGGAAUACGGUGUGGGUGUAUACGGGUGUCGGUGUAAACGGCACUCACACAUACACUACUCCCACGACCAUCCGUACCACCCCUGUAUUCACCCUCAUCGUCCCUCACCGCAGUGCACCCGUAGCAGAGACGUCGAACGCCGCACGUCACUCAGUGCACCAACAUGUCAUACGUUCCUAAAAAAGUAUAAAAAAGCUGAGUUGGGAUAUCACGAUGAACAGCUCCGGCUAGGAUUUGAACAGGAUAUUAAAUCAACCAGGAGACAGCGGCAACCUACAGCGUCACAUAACUGACAGACAUGUAAAGCCAUGUUAAUAAAACGCCAGCAAAGGCGCCAUGACAACAUCGUAAGCCCAAUGCUGGCCAACGCUACAUAACGGAAUACAUUAUGGAACAUGUCUUUGUGACCGCACCGCAUACAGUCACCAUACAGCAUAUAAGGAGAUAGAUAACAUCCGCGAUGAAAGCGAGGGGGAUGCGGAACGAGAGGUAAAAAUGUUUUUGAUCGUAACCUGAAGCCCAGGCGCGAUUAUGGCAUCCGUACCAUCCGUUGCCCGUGCCGUACUACUGUUGUUAUAUCUGCCCCAUCCGCCACCGCCAUCACAGCCCAUCCCCAUCCGCAACCGCCGCGUCCGGCCCCUCCGAAAGCAACCUGUCUAGUUUGUACGAUAGAGGGAAAAGAUGCAGCGCCGUACUGUUGAAUGCGGAAGCUACCGGGAAGCCGAGGUCGGGGGUAGCAAGCUCCACCACUGCCCCUAACGGCGGUAGAAGAGAGGGGGGAGGGGGUGGGGAAUUCAAACAGCGUGCGUGUGUGCGUGUGUGUGUGUGUGUGUGUGUGAAAGCCCCACCUCGACGAAUAGGUGAGGCGAGGAGAGAUGCGGUGAGAUGUGGGUUUGUUGGACCCGGAAAGGUCUCCCCCCCCUCGUCGUGAUGCUCGUCAGUCGGGUGGUGCACCCUCUCUCCCGCUUCGGAGGGUUCGGGGUUCGGGGGGAAGAAGGGCUGAGAGCGGGUUGAUGGGUUAUACAGCGGUUGCCUGCGUUCAAUGCCGAAUCAAUGCCGAAUGCGUUGAAUCAUUCGAAGCAUAACACCUGUUGCACGAGGGGGGGAGACGUGGCGCUAGUCCGCCGCCCAGUUCUCCCACCACCCCCUGAAUCACUCACCGGCCAGACAGCAACGGACCACAGGUCCAGGGGAAGCCAGUGGACGAGCUUUAUGCGCCUCCUGGGCCUUGCGACUGCCGCCACCGGCACCGCCGCUGCCCGCCAGCCGCAUCUCCCACCUGCACACCGCCGCCAUCACCCACUGACAUGAUGACGGGGUAUACGACAAAUAACAACGACGGCGACGAUGAUGAUGGUGAUGUGUCGUACCACAAGGCGAUGGAAUAAAUGCUUAUGGCUCCCCUUAGAUAAUUGUGAGAUGUGGUUGACUGAGUCAACACUACCUGCCGCCCCUGGAGGCAUGCACUCCGUGAGAUGUGCAGGAGUAUGUAUGUAUGUAUGUAUGUAUGUAUGUAUGUAUGUAUGUAUGUAUGUAUGUAUGUGGUUGCACACGAAACACACAGACCGCAGAGAGCGGUAGCAAGCGCACUGCCGUGCAAUGUGUGGUACAAAGCUUCUGCAAUGUACGCUGAGGACACUGGUACGGCACGCACCGUUCCAAGUACUGUCGGAAGCUGUUGCCCAGCAGCGCAACCAGCGGUACCCCGACCACCACCACCGCAUCGGUGCCGGUUGCGGGGGGGGUUCCACGGCUAGCCGGGGCGCCAUCGCCGCCGCGGCCGCCGGCACCAGUACUCCAGUUGGCUCGCAACAGGGUGUCGUACAGCUCCCCCUCGCAAUGUGGCAUGUAAAAGAACGUGGGCUCCGUCACUUUCCGGCCCCCGCCCUCAUCCACCUCCAAAACCUGCGGGGGGUCGGUUAAAACCGGCGGCAUAUAACCACGUUGCGCCUGACGAAGGAGCAGGGGAAAUGUAUGUGUAUGUGUUUUUGAGGGGAGGUGGAGGGCCAGGGAGACGCAAGGGGUGAUGCGCACAGACAAACGUUUGGCAGGAUGGCAGAAAUUAAGGCCUGACUUCUGCUCCCGGAGGCUCCGGGUUCAAAUCCGCCUGCCGACCCCGCUUCUCGGUGUGUGCGGGGUGUUGAAUUGGGAGGUGGCCCCCCAUCUUGUGGACGGUGUAUGACGUGAUUAUAUCAACUUGCGCAAGCUGACCAGGAACUAAGUUGAGGCGCCGUUGAUCCGCUAGAUUUGGUUGGAUGCUGGUGGUGAGUUGCUGAACCCAACGAAUACAUUCUGAAGUCGGAUGGGGUGAAUGGAUUAGGGUGCCCCUCUCGCAGGGGAGAGCAGGGAACUGCCUCCAAGGGAAAGGGGGCCGCUGGUGAAGCAAUACCACCCUGUAACAUCAUACCCACACACACACCUCUUUUGCACAAAUCCCCACCUGUAACCCUAGAUGCUGUAGCGCCAGCCUGUCUAUGUCAUCGAAUGCCGGGUCGUACAGCUGUACGGCAGAGCUGAGGCCACCCAGAACCUGGUCGCGGAGCAGCAGCACCAGCGCCAACUGCAGCACAGUCACAUAAUCACCGCCGGGGAGUAUGACGCAUACACACACACGUGCGUGACGGAAAGCAACGGGCGUGUGCGUAUGUGUGUGUGGGGGGACGAGGGGGGGCCAAGUGUGAUAGUGGAGAGGUGGAGAGAAAAAAAGGGAGAGACAGCGGCAGGCUACGAGCUGCCGGGACUGGGUAAGGGGGAAGAUGUGCUUAGCUUUACAUGUCCUACAGUACACAGUCGUACACAGUACCGCUGGCAACUUGGACGACAGCAUCGUGUACAUAACCAGCAAGUCUUCCUUUCCGUACGACGGCCCGAUGUACGACGCUUGACGUACCUGAUACCUUGAAACCCGGCUGAGAUGCGGUGAGCCCAGGCCGUACACCACCAGGUUGCGAAUAACACCCCAACCGAUCAGGCCACCACCGCCGCCACC